CAGGUUAUACCGAUUAAAAGGAAUAAAAUGACAAUUAUAUAUAAAAUAUGUUGUGUACUCUAGUUUAUUAGGUUAAAUAGUUAGAUUUCGAAGGGAAAUUGCCAAAAAUACUAUUUUCAAAGUACCACUUUUCAUGUUUACACUAAUCACUUUUAGCACCAUCUUUAAUGAAGGGUAAAAACAUUUAUAACCAUUUGAUUAACAUUGACGAAAAAAAACAUAAGUUUAACUAAUCUAAACUUAAAACAUCGACUCUAAACCCUAAAUCAUCAACGUUAAACCCUAAACUAUGAAACAUCAACUCUAAACCCUAAACCCCGAAACAUCAACUCUAAACCCUAAACCCUAAACCCUAAACCCUAAACUUUCAAAUCUAAACCCUAAAACAUCAACUCUAAACCCUAAACAUAAACCCUAAACCCUAAAUCUAAACUUAAAACAGCAACUUUAAACCCUAAAUCAUCAACUUUAAACUUUAAACCGUGAAACAUCAACUCUAAACCCUAAACCCCGAAACACCAACUCUAAACACCAACUCUAAAUCCUAAACCCUAAAACCUUCUAAACCCUAGAACAUCAACUCUAAACCCUAAACCCUAAACCAUAUAUUUUUCUGAAAUUCAAACCCUAAACACUAAAACCCUAAACCUUCAAAUCUAAACCUUAAAACAUCAACUCUAAACCCUAAACGUAAACCCUAAACCCUAAAACCCUAAACCUUCAAAUCUAAACCCUAAAACACCAAAUCUAGGAUUUUAGGGUUUAGGGUUUAGGAUUUAGGUUUAGAGUUUAGGGUUUAGAGUUGAAGGUUUAGGGUUUAGAGUUGAUGUUUUAGGGUUUAGGGUUAAUUUUUUAGGGUUUAGGGUUUAGAGUUUACUUUUUAGGGUUUAGGGUUUAGUGUUGAUAGUUUAGGGUUUAGUGUUGAUGAUAUAGGAUUUAGAGUUGAAGUUUAGGGUUUAGGGUUUAGAGUUGAUGUUUUAGGAUUUAGAGUUGAAGGUUUAGGUUUUAGGGUUUAGAGUUUAUGUUUCGAGGUAUAGGGUUUAGGGUUGAUGUUUCAGAGUUUAGGGUUCGUAUUUAUAAAAAAAAAUAGGGUUUAUGAUUGAUGGUUUGCGGUUUAGGGUUCGUAUUUCGAAAAAGAAAUAGGUUUUAGGAUUCAUGGUUUCGAAAAUUUGGCUAUCCAGACAUUCAAACUAAUAUAUUUGGAUAAUGUUUCAGCGGAUUAAUUAUAUUAUUACAUCAAAUGAAGAACACUUACAUAUAUGAUGAUGAUGUAAUGGUAGUCGUAGAAUUCUCAAUGUUAUUUUGCUUAUUUAAGUAUAUUCUGUCGACAAGAAAUAAAAAAGCAUAUUCGUUCAUUUCCCCAAGUUCAGAAAGAUAAAAUCAAAGCACUGGUUUUUUUUUUCUGGACAGCGCUAGAUUUCAAUUUAUAGUUUAUUCCAAACGAAGCUAUUAAUAAGUGUCGUGUAUUAUGGAAAACUAUACUUUACUUUCCCUUUUUAUAAAGCAACGUAUCUACCUUCUUUUAUUGUAUCUUUCCCAGUAAACUAACAUAUCCACAACAUUGAAUUCAUCAAUCACCACAAAAAAAGGAUGACAACAUUUUUUUUGUUAUCUAAAGAUAAUAAUUAUAUUAAACAAGUGAUAUGUAAAUGUUACACAACUAGCCAGCAAAAAACAUAUUUGUUCCAAAGUCAUAAACCGGUAAGGUGAAACAUACCUCCUAGAAACUAGAACAAAAUCAGCACAAACACACAUAAAUUUAAAAUAAAACAGAGAUGGAAACAAAACACUAUAAAUUUUUGAAAAAUAUACAAAAUCAACAAGGAAACGAAACAAGGCGAUACUAAAUGCCAGAAUGAGAGAGAAAGCAUUGAAGGUCACAAUUAUUUGGGAUGAAAACAAUUGUGGGAACCGAAAUUUGUACUGUAGAUUUCCUUUUAAAUAAGGAAAGUUAGGAAAAUUUUAAUUUCUCAAAGGUCCCGGAUAUCUGCUUAACCACACGCCAAGCAACCAGAACACGAAAUAAAGACGAGAAAAAUAAGAAAUCGAAAAGAGAGCAAAAUAGAUCUUAUUCCGAAUCCGCGUUUGAGCGUUACAACAAGGUAAGAGCCUGGGCUACGAGAGCUGUCGGCGAGACUCCUAGUUUUAAAACCCUAAGAUUGCAAGACCUAAUUGAGUCGCAGAUCGAAUAACAAAAACAAAAAGUUGCCUAAAAUUGCUCUAAGUGCUAAGUUUGUUCUGAAAAAGUUCUCCUCCUCUGUGCCUCUCACCUAGGACUCCUUAUAUACUCCUCCAAGGUCGGUUUUAACUUUUCUCUUCCUGCCCUUAAGCCGUCUUAAGUGAAAAAUUGAGAUAUACUAUUUUUUCCGAUCAUCAUGUUUAUCCGCGAAAACUUAACAUUUUUUCUGCGGAAACUUAUCUUUAUAUUUGUUUUUAUAAUAAAAACAUAAACCGCCAUAGUAUCUACGAGCUCAUUCUUAAAGAAUCGUAAGUGGGCUUGUAGUCGCGUUUUAGACCUCGUUGGGCCGUCUUUCGACAUGAAACGUUUGUUAAGAUUUUUCUUUUCGACAAAAACAAGUUCUCGCGGUUUUUAUCGUAAAUUUUCAAUGGUAACUUUGAUCGGAAUGAUGUGAGAAAUGAUAUGGCUGAGGUACAUGGGAGCUAGCAUUGAGGAACAUACGAGAAUGCACGGAUUUGGGUCGUACCCGUUGAUCGAUGUCCGAGACAGGUCGGUUGCUACGUAGCGACCGACCGAGUGGCUUGGUAGUUAAUUUAAAUGAUAUUAAAAUAGAUGCUAACUCUUUUUUAAAUACUGAUUAAUAUUAAGCCACCAAGGAUAAGGUUCGAACAUAGUUUUAAAACAAGAAACCAGAACCAUAUCAGUAGGCAGGGAAGAUACAUGACCUAUAGGCUAUAACAACUUAGGCUGACAGUAUUAAACAGUACACAAGAACAAACCGCACACACUUCAAAGGAAGAACGAUAUGAUGGAUGUUAGGGAAUUUGAUGCGAUGUUGCUGCCUCUGCAGUACUCAAAGCGAGAAGCCAGCUUGGACCACUGGUAGCUACGUAUGACUGGUAGCUAUGUUAUGCGGUUACGCUAUCUGCAAACCGUUGGACCAUAACGUUCCGACCAGGAAGUACAUGUUUCAGUGACCAGACUUUCAGUUUUUGAACCGUAUUCAGAAUUUGGUUAACCAAGUACUAAGAUAAAUUCCAAAAUAUUAUUUUGUGUGUUUUGAUUUUUUUUGGGUAGUUUCAUGUUUAUUGGUAGUUUGAAGAGGUAAAGAAGGUUAAAAGAGACGAAGGCUUGACCUUCUUAUUUUACUUUAUUAAAUAGAAUGUUUGAUAAAUGGUUAUGUUUUCAUAGUAUGAUACAUUGGUGUUUAAAAACACGAAGAUUAUUCAAAAGAUUAUUAUAAAUUUAUCAUACUGGUUUUAAAUUUAUAAGAUAUGUAAUAAUUAGUAUUCUUAAGAUGAUUAUGUCCGCAUGUGCGGGCAAAACACCUAGUUACAUAAGUAUUAUACACAUUUAUCAUAGUAUUUAAAUUUUGUAGUUUGUUUAUAUAAAACUAACUAUUUGAUGUAGUAAUGUUUUGUAUGAUUUAAUAUUUUCAUAGUUAGUAAUAUCUUAUUAUUAAUAACUUUUAUUUUGUCAAUUUAACUUGAAAAACAUAAUAACUUAAAUAUAGUCAAAAUCCAAAAAUUACAAAUCAAAAAAAUAGAUUACUAUUCAAUGUUUUCUAAAACUACAAUUUACAGCAAAAUCCAAAAUUUAAAAACUAAAAACCCAAUUAAUCUUUCACAUUCUAUUUCAUCUUUCUUAGCUACACUCAUAAUAAAAGUUUGAACAAAUGGAUUUAGGGGAAAAAUACUUGAACCACUAAAACAAUCUAAUUUCAUGGAAAAACAUGAAUAUACACUACAAGAAAACAUCAAGGAUUCUGAGGGAAAAAAUCGUCGGAAUUUCGUCGGAAUAUCGUUAUUCCGACGCAAUUCCGACGAAACACGUCGUCGGAAAUAAUUCCUUGGAAUUUCUUUUUUCCUCUGAAAUCCCUCGGAAUUUUCCGACGGAAUUCCGAGGAAAUAAAUUUCCGAGGAAAUUCCGAGGAUCCCUUGUUUGUCGGAAAAGUCCUCGGAAUAUACCGAGGUAGAACUUCGUCGGGAUAAUUCCUCGGAAGUUCAUCGAUCGAUGCGUGUUUGGACAUAUAUACAUCGAUCGAUAGGAGUAUACCGACGGACUUUUUCCUCGGUUUAUUCCGAGGAACUGUUCCCUCGGUAUAUUCCGAGGGAUCCGUUCCUCGGAAUUUUCCGAGGGAGUUGUCCCUCGGAAAAUUCCGAGGGAAAUGUCCCUCGCUAUAUUUUUUAAAAAAAACGGAUCGAUCGAUGCGUUUUUGAACAAAAACGCAUCGAUCGAUUACUAGGAUGGACCGGGCCGUAAGAUUGUGAUCGAUCGAUGAGAGUAUCCCAUCGAUCUAUCGACAAUCUGAAUUGUUCCUCGGAAUUUCCUCGGAAAAUCUUGUAUGUUUUUUUAAAAAUGCAUCGAUCGAUGCGUUAUAGAACAAAAACGCAUCGAUCGAUUACUAGGAUGGACCGGGCCGUAAGAUUGUGAUCGAUCGAUGAGAGUAUCCCAUCGAUCUAUCGACAAUCUGAAUUGUUCCUCGGAAUUUCCUCGGAAAAUCUUGUAUGUUUUUUUAAAAAUGCAUCGAUCGAUGCGUUAUAGAACAAAAACGCAUCGAUCGAUUACUAGGAUGGACCGGGCCGUAAGAUUGUGAUCGAUCGAUGAGAGUAUCCCAUCGAUCUAUCGACAAUCUGAAUUGUUCCUCGGAAUUUCCUCGGAAAAUCUUGUAUGUUUUUUUAAAAAUGCAUCGAUCGAUGCGUUAUAGAACAAAAACGCAUCGAUCGAUUACUAGGAUGGACCGGGCCGUAAGAUUGUGAUCGAUCGAUGAGAGUAUCCCAUCGAUCUAUCGACAAUCUGAAUUGUUCCUCGGAAUUUCCUCGGAAAAUCUUGUAUGUUUUUUUAAAAAUGCAUCGAUCGAUGCGUUAUAGAACAAAAACGCAUCGAUCGAUUACUAGGAUGUACCGGGCCGUAAGAUUGUGAUCGAUCGAUGAGAUUAACCCAUCGAUCUAUCGACAAUCUGAAUUGUUCCUCGGAAUUUCAUCGGAAAAUCUUGUAUGUUUUUUUAAAAAUGCAUCGAUCGAUGCGUUAUAGAACAAAAACGCAUCGAUCGAUUACUAGGAUUUACGGGGCCGUAAGAUUGUGAUCGAUCGAUGAGAGUAACCCAUCGAUCUAUCGACAAUCUGAAUUGUUCCUCGGAAUUUCGUCGGAAAAUCUUGUAUGUUUUUUUAAAAAUGCAUCGAUCGAUGCGUUAUAGAACACAAACGCAUCGAUCGAUUACUAGGAUGGACCGGGCCGUAAGAUUGUGAUCGAUCGAUGAGAGUAUCCCAUCGAUCGAUCGACAAUCUGAAUUGUUCCUCGGAAUUUCCUCGGAAAAUCUUGUAUGUUUUUUUAAAAACGCAUCGAUCGAUGCGUUAUAGAACAAAAACGCAUCGAUCGAUUACCAAGAUGGCCCGGGCCGUAAGAAUGUGAUCGAUCGAUGCGUUAUAGAAACAAAACGCAUCGAUCGAUGCGUGUUCGGAAAACAGAAUUAUAAGGCAAAACCCGACCUUUUUUGGAUCUAAACCUUAGAACUCUCAUCCCCUCCGAUUUCCCCUAUAAUUGCCCCCCCCUUUCUCUCUCUAUAAUCAUCCGAUUUGAACAAUUUUGGGCUCUAUUCCACUUGAUUUUUCGAGCUCUACCUGAUUCCUACACUCGUCUUCACCCUAAGACAGGUAUACUCCGCGAAUCUCCACAUUCUGAAAUCGUGUUCUUGAGCAAUUUUUUGGGUUUUGUGAAUUUCUUAUUUCCGUGUUGAUUCCUUGAUCAAAUAUGCAUGAAACAGAUGUUUAAACAUGGAAUAGAACACAAUUGUCUGUGAUCAACGAGUUUGGAACAUGAUUUGAGAUGAUUUAGGGAUAGAGAAUUUUUUUCAAUUUCGUUUUUUUUUAUCACAACUCGAUUUUGCUUUUCAUUUUCAUGUUCAGCUUUGCCUUCUUAAUUGAUUAUAACCAUGUUGAGAGCAAUGAUUCUAUUUUGUAGAGAAUGAAGCGCACGAAAACAUCAGCAAAGAAAAACACACAAGAAGCGGGUUCGUCACAGCUGGAGAAGCAAAGGCCAAAGAAGUGGGAUAAGUCUGAUACCACCCACUACAACAACAUGAAGAAGGUAGCCGUUCCGGCUACACAACUAGCAUGUCCUGAGACGAUGACAAUAUUGGGAAUCAAAGCAGACAUUGAAGGACUGUUCCAGAACAUGGGUCUAGGCCAACUAUGCAACCUCAAGGAACCCACUUAUCCGGAGUUGGUACGCCAGUUCAUAGCAUCCGCAUACGUCACCCGUCCCGAUGAUAGCCAUCAGGAAGGUUUUCUGGCAUUCGUAGUGCAGAAAGUAUACUAUGAGGUAUCUUUCACAGACCUCUGCGGACUAUUUGGAUUGAGUGCGGGGGAGAGGACAUAUGGUCUUUAUUGGACUUCAGAGCUGUUGAACUUCUGGGAAACGAUUGGCACAGGGGUUUAUAGAUCUUCUCAGGCAAAGGAGUCACUUAUCCGGAGCCCAGUACUGAGAUAUGCGACACGCCUCAUUGGCUCAUUGCUAUACGGGACAACCACAGCCGCAUCAGUCACGCAAUGGGAGUUGUGCCUCCUGUACCAAGGUGUGAGGCAUUUGCUACCGGCAUUUGGAAACUCUACAUUCCCACCUGCUACUGCCUUCAACAUGGGAGCGGUGCUGGCCGCAAACUUAGCAGGAUACAAGGGGAAAGUAACCAAAUCCAAGAGCAAUGCAUGUGGAUUUGGUGCAGUGAUUACUCGGAUCCUUAGACAUGUGGGUGUAGACUGUGAGAACCACCAGGUAGCACUGGACAGAUCGAACAACAUUGCUUGGAACUACCUGGAUGUCAUUUCUCUAGUAAGUAAGGAGUUCAUAGCUGGUCCCCACUCGAGGAUCGAUCGGGAUGGUCCUUACGUCUACGUAUUCCAGGACCGAGCGAAGAAAACACUCUACUGCCACCUGCCUCAGAUCGGCCUGACUGCUCUACUUUCAGAGGCUGCAGUUGAGUUCCUACCCCCUGCUACCGCACUAGUAGACAAGCCAUCCUUCUUCACGCCAAAAUAUCAGACCAAAGGCAAGGGCGUGGUUGAUGAAGAAGGACAAGAUGAGGCUGCACAAGCCAUUCCAGAUGAUUCACAACCCCAUCAGCUACUCCCAUCAGACUCCAGCCAGUACAAGCUGCAAGAGCUUCCACCGAACGCCACUUCGCGCCAGCAACAACAUUGGAGAGAUCAGAGCAUAAAGACAAACAACGACAUGCUACACAAGAUCUGGGCUGCCAUUUCACGUAUCAGGCCGUGUCGUUGCCAAAAGGAUGAUGUAGUUCAUCGGGACAACUCUCCAUCCAGCUCUGGUUCGGGUUCGAGUGGUACACACAGGGUAAGAAAGAGGUCCAAGAGACCCAACGAUGCAGGAACAUCUGGAGCAGGAGACGAGGAGUAGGAGCUAUCACCGGCUAUUUUAUUUUCUUUUCUAUUCUAACGUUUUAUGGUCUUAUUUUCUGUUAAUUUUGAACUGAGUUUUUUUUUAGGUUUCUUAAUUAUGAGUUCGUAUUUCUUUUACAUGGUUUCUUCGUUUUAUUUGGUUGUGUUUUGAGUAGCUUUUAAUUCGUAUUCAGCUUUGCCUUGCUAGAUAAACCAAAUAACUAUUAUCCGAGGAAAGAGGUUAUAUCAAGUGUUCCUCGGAAUUUCCUCGGUAUUUCUUUAAAAAAAAAAAAAAAUAAGUUCAAUGGUAGUCUGUUUCCGAGUCAUCAUCACCAGAUGAAUCUGAAUCUGGAUCUUGGUGAAACUCUCCAAUCACUGGUUCAUCCUCUACGUGAACGACGGCUUCCUCUCCAAAGUCGGUUAAAUCGACUACAAGGCCAACUCCAGCUAAAUCUUCUGCUGCACUUAAGUUGCCGGAUGUGCUUGGUUGUAGUGGGUCUUCCAGCUCAGAACUUCCCUGAACUCGGCCUCUCGGGUUGAGUCUUGUAACAGUAACCCAUGGAUCAUCUCUGUUCCUUACCCGGGGGUACUUGAUAUAACAAACCUGUAACAUUUAGAAAAAUUAUAAAUUAAUACACAUGAUGAUGAAUCAUUCUGAAUAAUUAACAUUUAAUUACCUGAUCGGCCUGAGAAGCAAGAAUGAAAGGAUCAUAAUAUUGCAGCUUUCGCCUCGAAUUUACUGAUGUAACACCAAAUGCAUAUGUUCUCACACCUCGAUCUGGAGUGUUGUCGUGCCAAUCACAAUAGAAAACAGUACAGCGCAAUCCAACCAUGCCCAAAUACUUGAUUUCCAAAAUCUCAUGUAUGUGUCCGUAGUAUACAUCAUCUCCUGAUGCAGAACAAACGCCAGCAUCAUAAGUCGUACUCGAACGUCUCCUCUUCUGAGUUGUGAAUGCAUAUCCUCGAGUACAAAAUCUCGGAUAUGACUUCACAACAAAGUUUGGUCCAACGACCAUCUCACGUAUCCAAUCGUCAAAUGUUUCACCUCUGGCCAAACCAGCAGACACCUAUUAAUAGCACAUAUAUAUAUAUUAUAUCAAUAAAUGUGAAUUAGUAUAAAUAUGUGAUAAAAUAUAUUUUAAUUUGUUUAAAGCACUCACAUAAGUAAACAUCCAUCCAGUAAAUUCUCUCUGCUUCAUUUCUUCUAGUUCGUCCUCUGUGGCGUAUCUAUACUCGAACCGCUUUUCUGCCAUGAAAAUCCUGUAUAUGAUGACAAUAAUGUAAUUAAUUAAGAUUUAAAUUUCAACUUGUUAAAAUAAAAAUUUGUAAGCUCAUUUAUUUACCUCUCAUAUUGAAGAACGUCUUCGCAGUUGGUGAGCAAAUAUGUUUGCAAAUGACUGCGCUCCUGCUCAGUAAGUCGACGGUCCUUUGGUUUUCCGCUAAGUCGUCCAACGUCUGUGAAAAUGUCUGGAACCGUAACAUGAUAUGUUGCCCGUUCGCCUCUAUCAUCAUGCCGAGCAGGUCUUCUGUUUUUGGUCUGAACUUCUGCUGGAAAGUAGUACUCGGCAAAGUUUGAAGUUUCUUCAUUGAUCAUCUGUGCGACUAUAGAACCUUCCACCCUACUUAAAUUUUUCACCAUCUUCUUCAAAUGGAACAUAUACCGCUCAUACAGAUACAUCCAUCUAUACUGCACAGGACCACCAAGUUCCAAUUCUCUUGCCAGGUGAAUAACAAGAUGCUCCAUAACAUCAAAAAAUGAGGGAGGAAAUAUCUUCUCAAGGUUGCACUGAAUCACGGCUAUGUUAGUCUUCAAAUUUUCAAUACCUUCAAGAGUCACUGAUCUCGUGCAUAAAUCGCGGAAGAAACCACUUAUCCCUGCAAUUGCUUCAUGAACAUUUCGUGGUAAUAGUUCCUUGAAGGCGAACGGAAGGAGGCGCUGCAUCAUUACAUGGCAAUCGUGGCUUUUCAAGCCAGUAAACUUUCCUUCCUUUCUGUCGAUACAGUUACGCAAAUUUGAUGCGUAACCGUCUGGAAAUUCCACAUCGUUUGAAAUCCAAUCAAAGAACGCAUCUUUUCCCUCUGCAUCAAGUCGGUAUAUGGGAAAAGGAGCCCUACCAUUCUCAUCAACAUGAAGUUCUGAACGAGCACAUAUAUCGACUAAAUCCAGUCUUGACUUCAAAUUAUCCUUUGUUUUACCUUGAACAUUAAGGAUCGUGUUCAUGAGAUUGUCAAAAAAGUUCUUCUCAAUAUGCAUGACAUCUAAAUUAUGCCUUAGCAGAUGAUCCUCCCAGUAUGGCAGAUCCCAGAAAAUACUUUUUUUGUGCCAGUUAUGUAGUUCUCCAACAGCAUCUACCGGAAAACGCUCAUGUCCACCGACUUCUGGCGUCCUUUCUGCACCAAAAUCUCUUAGUUGUAUCUUCAAAUCUUUCCCACAAAUUUCCGGAGGUGGACUGUCAAACACCCUCUUGUUCUUCGUAAACAAAUUCCUACUCCUACGAUAUGGAUGAUCAGGUGGUAGGAAUCUCCUGUGACAGUCAAACCAACACGUUUUCCUUCCGUGUUUUAGUUGGAAAGCAUCAGUGUUAUCUUGACAAUAUGGACAUGAUAGCCUUCCAUGCGUUGUCCAUCCAGACAACAUACCAUAUGCUGGAAAAUCACUUAUUGUCCACAUUAGUACUGCCCGCAUUUGAAAGUUUUCUUUACACGAAACAUCGUAUGUUUCAGCACCUUGAGCCCAUAGUUGUUGCAACUCAUAUAUUAGUGGCUGAAGAAACACAUCAAGUGAUCUCUUAGGAUGCUCUGGUCCGGGAACGAGAAUCGAGAGAAACAAAAACUCUCGUCGCAAGCACAAGUUUGGGGGUAGGUUGUAUGGUGUAAGAAUGACGGGCCAUAGAGAAUACUGUCUUCCACUCUUGCCAAACGGACUGAAACCAUCAGUACAUAAUCCAAGGUAGACAUUUCUUCUCUCAUACGCAAAGUCGGGAUACUUUGAUUGGAAAUGCUUCCACGCUUUUGCAUCUGAAGGAUGUCUGAUCUCACCAUCUGUUGAGUGCUCCGCAUGCCAUCUCAUUGGUUGCGCUGUGCGUUCAGACAGAUACAACCUCUGCAACCUUUCCGUCAAAGGUAAAUACCACAUCCUUUUAUAUGGCACUGGAACUCUUCCACUCGUAUCUUUAUAACGAGGCUUUCCACAAAAUUUGCAUGUAACCCGCUGUUCAUCCGCCCUCCAAUAAAUCAUGCAGUUGUCGCUGCAUACAUCUAUUACCUGAUACGAUAAACCAAGACCAGCUACGAGUUUCUGAACCUCGUAGUAUGAACCAGGAGCUACAUUAUCCUCGGGUAGAAUACCUUUUACAAAAUCAGCAAUCGCAUCCACACAGUCUUCAGCCAAAUUAUAAUCUGUUUUAAUGCCCAUCAAUCUUGUAGCAGAUGAUAAAGCUGAAUGACCAUCUCUGCAACCUUCGUACAAUGGUUGCUUUCCAGCAUCCAACAUAUCAUAAAAUCUCCUAGCUUCUGCAUUGGGUAAAUCUUCCCCUCUAAAAUGAUCAUUUACCAUCUGCUCAGUACCUACACCAUAAUCUACAUCCGUUCUAAUUGGUUCUUCUAAUCUAACCGCUGGCUGAGGUUCACUAGUACUACCAUGUUCAUAAUCAGUUUCCCCAUGAUGAUACCAAAUUUUGUAACUUCGUGUAAACCCACUCAAAUAUAGAUGAGUCCAAACAUCCCACUCUUUAAUAACCUUUCUAUUUUUACAAUUAGAGCAAGGACAUCUUAACAUACCUGUUUUUGCUUCCGGUUGUCGGUGAACUAACCCCAUGAAUUCAGUUAUACCUCGUUGGUAUUCUUCCGUAAGCAAUCUCGUGUUCGGAUCCAAAUGAGGUCGAUCGAUCCAAGAACGAAAAUAAUUUGAAGAAGACAUAUUUUUUAUGAAUCAAAUUCGUGUGUAAAUAGAGUAAGAGGGAGGAUGAAGAUAUGAAGUGAAUGAAGAGGAAGAGGAGUGCUUGUAUUUAUAGUUUAAAUCCUGCCGACAUACCGAGGAAAUUCCGACGGAAUUCCGACGGACAAAACUAGUUCGUCGGAAUUUCUUCGGAAUUUUGUAAAAUCCCCCAACGGCUCUCCAACGGCUAUAAUAUUUCCUCGGAAUUCAUCGGUUUUUUCCGAGGAACAGAGUUUUCCUCGGAAUUUCCUCGGAAUAUUCCGACGGACUGUAGUUUCCUCGGAAUUCCGUCGGUAUAUUCCGAGGAAACCCAAUUUUGUGUUUCCUCGAAAUUUCCUCGGAAAUUCCUCGGUAUAUUCCGAGGAUUUCAUUUUCCGUCGGAAUGUCCGUCAGAAUAUCGCUGUUUUCUUGUAGUGAUAUAGUUAUGUAGAGUAGAUUAAUAAGGACGAAAGGAAUAAUAAUAAGGUUGUAAAUGAUUAAAUGUAUAUACUACAAAGAAAGAAAGGUAUAAUAUUUCAAAAAUAUUAUUUUGUUUUGUAGUAACAUACAUACCCUUUGUAAAUCCAAUUUUCCACGUACAAAUAUUUUAAAAAGUAACAAUUCCCCACUCACUUUCUUCUAAAAAACAAGGCUCCUUCACUUGCCAUCAUCACACCAUCACAAUUACCUUUAUAAUCAUCAUCUAGUAAAAUGGCUCCGGCGAAGAAGAUAGUAUUCAAAACAAAGCAUGAAUUGGCGGUGGAGCUGGCCAAAUACACAGCGAAUCUCUCCUCGAAAUUCUGCAAAGAAAGAGGAAUCUUCACCGUUGUUCUCUCCGGCGGCGACCUCAUCUCCUGGCUUUGGUAUAACAAAUAUAAAACCAUCUUUAUCACACUCUUAAUACAAGUCUCAUUAUAUUUGAUUCAUCCUACAGGAAAUUGUUGGAACCUCCUUAUGCUGAUUCAAUUGAAUGGUCUAAGUGGCACAUUUUUUGGGUCGAUGAGAGGGUUUGUGGUUGGGAUGAUGCCGAUAGCAACUAUAAACUCGCAUACGACGGUUUUCUCUCCAAGGUACAUAUAUAAUUAUCAAGCAGUAUAUCUGAAUACAGUUUCUUUUGUUACAAACACAAUAAAAUAUUUCCUGUGGAUGUUAAAACUAAUAUCAUAUUAGUAAAAUAGAGCAUAUUUAUAAUUUUCAUCUAAUAGUUUUGAAAAUCUUAAGGAAAUCAUUUAAUAGACAUUAAUAUUAAAAAUAUACUAAAAUAUAUUAUCUAUGUUAGUAUCAUUUAAAUUUAAUAACAUAUCCUAUCAAAUAUAAAAAAAAAAUAUUUUUUGGAUUAAUAAAAUUGAUUUCUAUGUUCGUACCAAUUUAAUUAUAUAUUUAAUAGUUGCUGACUUUUAAUUAUUUAAUAUAUAUUUAUUAUUUCAUAAUAUGUAAAAAAAUUUAAUACAUAAAAUAAUUUAUAUAUAUAAAGUUGAUUCCGCGCAAGACGUGGAUCUUAACCUACUAUAAGUUAUCAAGCAGUAUAUCUGAAUACAGUUUCUUUUGUUACAAACACAAUAAAAUAUUUCCUGUAGAUGUUAAAAAUAAUAUCAUAUUAGUAAAAUUUUCUGAUGUUCGUGUUUAAUGUUCAUAGUUUAUGAUAAGAUUUUGACUAAAACAUCAGAAAUGAUGGGUUUAUUUUGAUAUAAAACACACCAAACGUCAAGGCAAGAUCAUGUUCAUAGAUAUAUAUUUGAUAUUUGAUAACAAAACAUCCAGGUUCCUAUUCCGGCCGAGAACAUCUAUGCCAUCGACAAAGGGCUCGGAGCUGAAGGCAAUGCCGAGCUCGCAGCCGAACGGUAUGAGGAAUGCCUCAAAGAAAAGGUGAACAAAAACAUAAUCCGAACAUACAAAUCCUCGGGUUUCCCACAAUUUGAUCUCCAGCUUCUAGGAAUGGGACCAGACGGUCACAUGGCGUCUUUGUUCCCGGGACAUGAUCAAAUCAAUGAAAAAGUGAAAUGGGUUACAUUUAUUACCGAUUCACCAAAACCCCCACCAAAAAGGAUCACUUUUACUCUACCGGUUAUCAAUUGUGCUUCAUACAAUGUUAUGGCCGUAUGUGAUAAAGAACAAGCCCAUUCGGUUGCGGCUGCUCUUACUCAUACCAAAGAUGUACCAGCUGGUAGACUAACCGCGGAUGUUGAAGUGGUCUGGUUCCUUGACCAAGCAGCUGCGUCUAAACUCAAAGGCUGGUGCUCUGUCCUUUGAUUUCAACGUUUAUGUGUGUCCAGUUGUAUCGGUUUGGUUUGGCUCGUUUGUAAACCGUGUAUUGCUAUUACUUGUUUAUGCUGUGUACCAUACCAAAUGAUUAAUUUGGUUUACAAGUAUUCUCUUUUGUUUCUAAUAAUAAUUGGUUUCAUAAAUGAGAGAGGAUCUUUAGCAAACAUAUGAAUCAGAGAAAGAUAAAAUCCCCCAAAUCAAACUUUAGAAAUCCGUUAAUUGAUUGGCUAUCCAUCAAUUAAUGGGGACACGGAACUUAAUGAAGUGUGAGACAGCACUACACUCGGAAUUGGAGGCACUAAGAUGGGCAAUGGAGAGCAUGCUACAGCAUUCGACCUGCCAGAGAUUUGAGACAGAUUGCAAAGACCUGAUUGCAAUGAUAACAAACCCCACAAGCUUGACCAAACUUCUCAACUGAGGUGGAGAUCAUUCAAAUUCUCAAGAUGUGUUUUCCGGACUUCAAGAUCAGUUACUUCCCGAGGGCGCAAAAUGAAAUCACUGAUUCACUGGUUAGGAAUGCUCGUUCUUUCCAUAUAUCUCUUUGUUUUAUUAGUUGUUCUAUUCCGGUAUGGUUAUCCAGACCACCUCAAGCUUGAGUAAUAGAAUAACCGUUUAUUAGCAAAAAAAAAAAAAUCCGUUAAUUGAUUAUUGAGAAGAAACCAAAAAAAAAAGUCAAAGUUAACGUUAAUCUAUAUGUCUUACCAAAAAUCCAAACUCGGUUCCAAUUUUGUGGUUGUACCUCACGAGGCCUGUUGCCUUGGGUUGAUUCGAUUAUGAACCUAUUAUUUUAGCAUUGGUUAUGCUCAAGACCAAUUGGUAAUUUAGUUUUAUAAUUUGAAAAUUUUAAGUAUAUUUUCAAUCUGCCUCAAAGAACUUAGAGCACCCGUACAUCAGUUCAUUUCUAAGUGCUUUCCUUAAAAAGUAUUUCGAUCCUAUUACAAAUUUAGGGUUACACAAAAUUCCUUUGUAGAAUAAGAUAAUCAAAGUUUUACUCUUGUUCUAUGCUAAGAUACAAGAGAAACAAAUAGAGAUUUAGUGUUUAUAUGUGUUUCUUCAAAGUCUUUGAUGAUCUUUGAACAAUGAAUAUUUCUCUCUCUCUCUUUCUUACUAACUAUUAGCUUCUGAUUUUUUCUAUAUCUAUUUGUCAAUGCCUACACCUCCUUAUAUAGAGACUGAAGAGUUGCAACCAAUAGUUGCAAUGGUUAAACCAAAAGUUGCAAAGGUUAAUGAUGAGUUGCAAUAGUUACUAAAGAGUUACAAUGAUUAAUCACCAAAUGUUGCUAUUAAUUAAUAUGGUUAUUACCAAAAGUUGCAAUCAUCAAUAGUUGCAAUGUUUUAUUUCUAUAGUUGCAACUAUUCAUACGAACAAUUGCAAUGGUUCACAUGAAACAUUACACAUAUUCACUUAAAUAUAUAGCAUUCCUCCUCCAUUUAAGUGUAAUCAUAGAUAUUAUAUAAAUAAUACAUAUAUCAAACUCAUGCAUAAAUGAAAAUGUUCGAAGAAUUGAAUUUCCAUCUAAGUGUACUACACAUUCCAAAUGUCCGAGAAUUAGGAUGUCAUACGGAUUGAAUCCUUCAACCCAUUUUGGGCACAUGAAGAUAAUACACACAUGUGUUUCCAUACUAUUCUAAGUGUUUAUACUUGACACUAUUAUAAGCUAUGUGUCCCUAUCCAUUCUUGAGCGCGUACAAAGCCAAGACCCAGCUUAUUGAAGCGGCAUCACUUAACACUCAUAUAGGUAAAUAUUUUCAGUCAUGCACCUGCAAAUGCACUUUUUCAAAGUAUUUAUUAAGAAUAAUAUUUCAACCUAUCUCAUUCUUGUAGGUCCAAACACAUACCUUGGGAUGAUAUUAACAAAAAAAAAACUGUGUUUCAAUCUUUAUCUGCAUGCUUUCCACAUUGAAUUCAGCCUCUAACGUCGUAUUAGAGGGGAACUGGGUAUCCCACCAUUAAAGAUUUUAAAUGUACUUUAAACCCAUCCCUUUAACCGACUUAAUCACUAAGUCUCUAACUAAUCAUUUCGUCAAAUGAUCAGCUAAAUUUUGUUGAGGUAGCUUGACUAUCACAAUGGAUAAAAAUUGGCUAUAGGCCUUUGCCAAGGUAGCUUGACUAUCACAAUGGAUAAAAAUUGGGGAUACUGGUUUUGGCCACAAUGGAAUCUCGUAUACUAAGUUUCUUAGCCACUCUGCUUCUUGACCAGCAGCUGCUAAUGCUACGAAUUGCGACUCCAUCGUCGAACUUGUAAUGCAAGUUUGCUUCUUGGAAGCCCAUGAAAUGGCACCUCCCCCCAACAAAAACAUGCAACUACUUGUAGAAGAAUGAUUUUCUAUGUUGGUAAUCCAAUUUGCAUCUGAAUAUCCUUCUAGCACCGAAGGAAAUCCGACAUAUGACAAACCAUAAUUAAUGGUUCCUUUCAAAUACUUGAGCACCCUUUUUAAGGCUUGCCAAUGGUGAGUACUAGGAUUACUAGUGUAUCUACUCAACCUUCCUACAAUGUAAGCUAUAGCUGGCCUAAUGCUCGUCAUGGCAUACAUUAAGCAGCCAAUCACUUGUAAAUAUUCGAGUUGUGAUACUGCUUGUCCUGUAUUAGGCAUAAGCUUCACACUCGCAUCCAUGGGAGUGCUCAUUGGAGAACAAUUCUCACAAUUGAACUUCUUAAGAACUUUCUCAAUAUAAUGAGAUUGUAUCAAAGAUAGUCCUUUGUCUUCACGUUUGAUUCUAAUUCCAAGAAUCACAUCCGCCUCCCCCAUGUCUUUCAUUGCAAAAUUUGAUGACAAAAAUACUUUUGUAAGCUCUACUUGUCUAAGGCCAGUACUAAAGAUCAACAUGUCAUCAAGAUACAAGCAAAUGAUUACUCCGUUUCCAGAUUCAUCAAAUUUUCCAUAUAAACACUUAUCUGAUUGGUUUAACUGGAAACCAUUUGAUAAGACAACCUGAUCAAACCUUUGAUGCCACUGCUUAGGUGCUUGCUUUAGCCCAUACAAUGACUUGAUCAACUUACACAUCUUAUGAUCAUUACCAGGCGUAAUAAAACCUUCAGGUUGCUUCAUAUACAACUCUUCUUCCAAAAUACCAUUUAAGAUCGCUAUCUUAACAUCCAUUUGGUGAACCACAAGGUUAUUAAUUUCUGCCAAAGCAAUUAGUAAUCUUAUAGAAGAGAUCCUAGCAUAUGUAUCGAAAUAAUCAAUACCUUCCCUUUGUUUGAAGUCUUGAAUAAUCAAUUGUUCUUUAAACUUGUCUAUUGUUCCAUCAACUUCCAUCUUUCCUUUUGAAGAUCCAUUUUCAGCCUAAAGGCUUGCAACCAGGUGGGAGAUCCGACAAGAUCCAAGUAUUAUUUCCCAUGAUGGAGUCCAUCUCAUCAUUUAUUGCUUCUUUUCAAAAGGCAACAUCUUGAGAGUUCAUAGCUUCGCUAUAAGUUCUUGGAUCAUUAUCAAUAUGAUAAAAUUAUGAGUGUUGUAAACCAAUCUCAUCUCUUGAUUCUUCAACUACAUAUAUUUGAAAAUCAGGACCAAAUGAUUUCUCAAUCCUUCCUCGCUUGAUCCUACAAAACAUUGGUAACAUGUUAGGAGACACAAGAGUUUCAUCUCCUUUAUUAGUUCCACUUGAACUUGGAAGCAAAGCCUUUGGCAUAGGUAUAGAUUAAAAAUGAGUUUCAUCAAAUAUUGCAUCUCUUGAUUCAAUUACAGUGUGAACUGCUAUUGAAUCAUUAGGUUCUAUUACAUAAAACCUAUAAGCUUUGGAAUGCUAUGCAUAUUCAAUAAAAAUGCAAUCAAUACCUCUCUCUCCCAAAGUUUUAAUUUUGGGUUGAGGUAGUCUUACAACAGCCCUACAUCCCCAAACUCGAAAAUAAUUCAAGUUUUGUUUUCUCUUAUACCAAAGUUGAUAAGGGGUAAUUUUGUUCUUUUUGUUAGGAUUAGCAAGCCGUUAACAUGGCUUCACCCCAAAAUCCAUGCCUUAAUCUCGAGUAAGAUAACAUGGAAUUAACCAUUUCUUUUAGGAUUAUAUUUUUUCUUUCUGAUACACCAUUUUGUGGUGGCGUAUACGGAGCCGUAGUUUCAUGAAUAAUGCCAACGGACUGGAAAUAUACAUGAUCAUAAUACUCUCCACCUCUAUUGGUGCGUAACUUCUUAAUCAAACCAUUUUGUUCCAAUUCAACCUCAGUUUUGUAAACCAUAAAUUUAUUUAGGGCCUCGUCUUUAGCAUGUAAUAAAUACACAUAACACAAAGAGAAUAAUCAUCUAUGAAAGUGACAAAAUACUUCUUGUUUCCUAAAGAAGGUGUAGCAGGCAAAUCACAUAGAUUCCUAGCACUACAAAAUUUCUUUCAAUGCUUUUAAAUGGUUGCCUAAUCAUCUUUGUUAACAUGCAAGUACUACAUUUUUCUGAAUUUAUAUCAAAAGUAGGAAAUAACCAUUCUUUAGACAUAUUAAUCAUAUGAUUAUAAUGUACAUGACCUAAUCUAGCAUGCCACAGAGAAAUAUCUUUUUUUCUAGAACUUGCCAUAUAAAUAUAUAAACAGAAUUGACAAUUUUAUUAAUAUUAAGCAUAAACAUAUCAUUACAGAAAUAUCCAAAUCCAACAAAUACACCACACUUCGAUAAUAUAUACUUAUCGGAUUCAUACAAUUGUUUAAAACCACAUUUAUUUAAAACACUACCAGAGACUAAAUUUUUCCUAAUUCCGGGUACAUGAAGUACAUCCUUAAGAUCAAGGAUUUUUUCCAGAACUAAACUCUAACACCACUUUUCUACGAACUAGGAUAGGGGCAGUUGACUCGUUUCCCAUAUGAAGUACAUAUCCAUCUUGAACUUGCUCAUAUGUAGUGAACCAUUCACGAUCCUUGCAAACAUGUGUUGUUGCACCCGAGUCAAUCAUUCAUGCCACUUCAUCAUCCUGCACAUAAAAUGCCUCAUAAAUCUUUGAUACAUAAUUCACAUUAGAAUAUGGUUUAAAAUCAAAGAUUUGACCUUGAUGAGUGACUGGACCUUGGUCCUUAGACACUUGUCCCAAACGGUUUUGUCCCGUUUUAUUUUUAUCCUUCCCUGCUCGACAAUAACGACUUAAGUGGCCCGCCUUGCUAUAAUUCCAACAAAUGCUCUUAAACUUUUUGUUAGAUCCAUUGUAAGUGUUGUUAUUAAAGGAUCGUUUCCUCUUAUUCCUAUUCUUAGAACUCACACCUUCCUCCAUCAUAUUGAUAAGUACCAGCCUCACUAUUUUUGGGUUUUUCUCCUUCUUGCGCCCUUAGAGAUUUCUCUAUGUGCAAAUGGCUGCCAAGUUGUAUAAGAGACAAUUCCUUUUUGUGUUUUAACAUGUGUUUAAAAUCUCUCUAUGAAGGUGGUAACUUAUCGAUGAUACUCCAUACUGAAAUGGAUUUGUCCAUCUUCAUGUUGUGUUGUACAAAUUGACCUAGUAUAUGAAGCAAUUCAUUGUAUUGCUCCAUAACUAGCCUAGAAUCAGACAUCUUGUAAUUAUUAAAAUUACUAAUAAGGAACUUCUUACUAGAAGCAUCCUCAGCCAGGUACUUUGAUUCUAACGCAUCCCACAACUGUUUUGCGGAUUCGACAUUCUGAUAAACAUCAAAGAGAGGAUCUGACUUACCAUUGAGAAUAUGGCCACGGCAUAUGUAAUCAUCGUUUUUCCAUUUAAGUUGCUUCCUUGUCUCAUCCAACGACUCAUUCUAAGCAUCCUCCGGUACAGUAGGCAUAGGCAUGCUUUGAACAUACACUACAUUCAGAUUUGUGAGGAGAAAAAGCAUUUUCUUUUGCCAUCUCCGAAAAUCUACUCCCUCAAACUUAUCUAACUUUCCAAACUUUGAUGUUAUCUCUCGUAUAGAUUGAUAUGUUGUAUUUUUGAUACAUUCUAACAAUGUUUUCUAAAGUGUUUUUGAGUCUUUCUAGUCCUUUUGAGUCACUACAGGUCUGGAGUUGCAUUGGGUAGGAGAUGGACCAGUUGGAGCAAAAGAGGCAGAAAACACUGCAAUUUGGUGAUUUUCACGCAGAACAGUCUGAAGUGACUGUUCCCUAUCGAGCAGAACAACCUGAGUGCUUGUUCCAGCGGCAGAGAUUUUUAAGGCAACUUCUAAUAUUUCGGGAUUUUACCUAGGGUUCCCUCUUUUUACUCCUAGGCCGCCAUAGACCUGCAUAUCUAUCUUUUCUUAUUAUUCUAGACAUUCUAUGUUACUUUUUAAAGAGAUUUUUGGAGAGAGAAAACUUGUACUCUUGUUAAGGGAGAAGAAUCUCUAUAUCCUUUGGAGAAGAUUUCUAAACCCUCUUUGCUUUUUAUUAUUGAUUAAAACAUGUUUUCUUCAUCUGUCAUCUCUAUGUUUUCUCUGUCCAUGGCUGAGUAAUAUGCUUGCUUAGUCUAGGGUGUUAGGGUGUUUAGAUCAACGUGCUAAACACAAAUAAGGUUCAUUGUUGAUUGUCUCUAUUCAUGUUUAUUCUUACUGCAUGCUUUAAACUAGCUAUUUAUUGUUUGAACCUAGGUUUAAUCUAAUCAUCAAAAGUGCUUAGGUUGCUAGAAACAACAUGAAUGGGCAGCUUGUCCCUAACCAGCGAAAGUAGAUGUUAGGGUAAAUUGUGAACUAAUCAAAUCUGUGCUUAUUGUUUGUCUUCAUGUUUUAAUCCAAACGAGAGUUUAGGUAUUAAGACUGAUUGAUGAAAGGAGAGAUACCACGAAAGUGGAUCGAUCUACUUGUGUAAUUUGAGUUCUAGACUCGUGCUUAAUAAAACCUUGAAUAGAUGUUUGGCUCAUGAUAGUUUGACACUCCAUCCUUCACCCUAGGCCAGCUCUUUAAUCAAUUGAAAACACCAAACCAAUCUGUUACUUGUUCUUACGAUUUCUCAACCUUUUAAACCCCCAUAUUAUUUUAGCUUAAUAUUGAUCUCAUAAAGAUAAAGUGUAAUCGUUGGUCUCUGUGGAUUCGAUCCUAAAGUGCUACAUCGACAUAUCAUUCGAUUGUGGUUGUGUGCACAUUAGGUUAAUUGGUGUGCGUAUACACGUAAUAUCAAUUUGGCACCGUUGCCGGGGACCAUCUUUUUAUCUUUAUUUUUCGGUUAUUUAGUUAGUCUAAGACCUCUAACUUGCUCUAUCCUUUUUGUUGCAGCUAAUUUUUCAGGUGCAUGACCCGUAGAUAUACUCGGAGAAACACACAAGGAGAGUUAGUUACAUUUAGCAACAAAGAGCUAGCAAGGAUAGAAAGAACAAACUGUCAACAAUCAGGGCCGAACAACGCCAUAAUGAGCGACUACGGCAAUCAAGAGCAACUCACUGCUCAGUUGCAACAGAUGCAACAACAGAUGCUUCAAAUGCAGUAGACCAUCCAAGCUCAGCAGGAUGCUGCUGAACAGGCUGCUCUCGCGCGGCAGGAACAACAGGCGCAUACUGCUCCAAUCAGGCAGAGAAACCUUCCUUGUAACAUCCCUACUACUUGUUCUGCCAUAGUUCCUCCACCCUCCACCAGGCAGGACUUCGAGAUCAAGUCUGCUUUGAUCGGUCUAGUACAGAGAAAGGUAUUUUCUGGUCUCUCUACCGAAAUUCCAAUGGAGCAUAUUGAGAGCUUCGAAAAAGUCUGCAAUUUCACUCGCGCGAAUGGUUUUCCACCAGACUACAUCUGGUGCAUGUUAUUUCCAUUCUCUCUUGAUGGAAAAGCUGCACGGUGGUUGAACUCUCUCCCUACCAGCUCUCUCACUUCAUGGGAACAUGUCCGAUCAGCGUUCCUCAGCCAUUUCUACUCUAAGGCGAGAACAACUACAUUGAGGAACAACUACUUCAGACAACUCACUGAUGGGCCUUUCUGCGACGCAUGGGAGCGCUUCAAUGACUAUCGUAGAGAAUGUCCUCACCAUGGAUUUGAUGAUUACUAUUGGGAAUUUUCUAUGAUGGAGUUGACUGGAAUUUUUCAGAGUGCUAUGAACUCAGCCAGCAUUGGAGACUUCAUGACUCAGACCACUGAUGGAGCGUUUGAGCUGAUUGAGAACAUGGCUGCUACUUCAGCCAAUAAGAACGAGGAGAGCGAUUGCUCCAAGAAAGGGAACAGUUCCGACAUCCAUAAGAUAGAUGAGCUGACUGCCAAGGUUGAUCAGCUACUGAAAAACAACCAAGGGCACGUCUUCAGCCAGGAGCAAACUACGGCCGAGCAGAUUCAGAACCAGAACCAGCGACAACCGUAGAGCACUCGACAAGUUGUUCCAGCUACCUGGAACAGUCAACCAGAUGAGCUUAAGGGUCUGGGUAUGAUGAUGCAACGGUUAUUGCAUGGUCAGCAGGUUCAGGCCAAGCCGUUGAAUCAGGUAACCAUGGAAAUCGACACCAGGAUGGGCAACAUGUUCACUGAGCCGAAUGCCAAGUAUGACAUUGUUGCGAGCCACAUAAGAAAGAUCGAUGUUCAGCUUGCUCAAACAGCUGAGAGUGUCAAGAGGCAACAAGGGACGCUCCCUGGAAAAACUGAUAAAAAUCCUAGGACUGAGCACUGUAAUGCAAUAGAGCAGCUGUUCGCUGAGACUGUUCUAGGCGCAGAAGAGAACACAGAGCAGUCUGCUAGCUCUUGAGCGAUUGCUCCCAGCGAACCUGCUGAGACUCCACCAGUGCGAGACUAUGUUCCUAAGGUUCCCUAUCCGAUUCCACCUAAACAUCUGAUGGAUCCUAUUAGUCCAGAGCAGCUGGCUGGGUUUAGGAAGAUGGUGAGAAGGCUUCCUCAAAAUAUCUCAUUUGAACAUGCUUGGGAGAUUCGGCCAUUGCAUAUGUUCUUCAAAAAUUGCAGAGAAUCUCAGGAGCAAUUGAAGGCACUCUUUACUGAAGCACUGACACCAUCGCUGAAGGUACUGCCUAAGGUUGAUGACCCUGGAAAGUUUUUUUUUCCUUGUUCCAUUACUGGAGUAGAAUUCAAGGAAGCUCUUUGUGAUUCUGGGUUUAGUGUGAACCGUGUCUCAAAAGCGAUUGUAGACGAACUGGGCAUUGUUAAUGUUGAGCCUUCUCAGGUGAAGCUGGCUUUUGCAAACUCUUCCAUGGCAGUCCCUUAUGGAACCAUUCGCAAUCUUCAUGUCUAAGUUGGGGACUGUGUGCUCCAUACCGAAUUUCAAGUUGUUGAGAUGAGGAAGGAUCAUGUGAUGCCUUUGAUUUUUGGAAGGUCAUUUAUGGCUACAGUGGGAGCAAUCGUCGACAUGCCUAAUAAGAGAGUCUCCUUCUCCAACAUCAACAAGAAGGUUUUAUACAAGGCUGUCCCAACCAGAUCUUAAAUCCCAUACGCCUCCUGCCUCUCCAAGGUCAGUGGAGAACAGCCGAAAAUUGUUGCAAAGAAGGAGUUUGGUGAUAAGAGUGAGAUCAAAGAAUUUCUGGAUGAAGAUCCUCACAUUGAUACAAAGAAACUAAGUGGAAAUGCAAAGGUGAAGGAAAAACUCCAGAAAAAAGGGUCAAGGGUGACCCUAUGAUGACUUUGAUACCUCGCUUGUGUGAUGAGAAAUCCAUUAAGCAUGAGGUAAAAUGCAAGGGUACCUCUAAACCUUUCUCUAAAGUCAGAGUAAUUCUCACACAUGAGCUGAAAAAGAAAGGAGAAUUUGCUGUGAAGGGGUUUCUGAGCAGAGUUCUGAAGCUGAACAUGUCUGAUUGUGGAGCUUGUUUUGGAACAAGCCAUCAUGAUCAACCCGACUAAUCCCUGUCACCAAGUCAAGCUAGUGACUUAAACCAAGCGCUCGGUGGGAGGCAACUCACUGGUAAGUGUACAUAUAAGUUGGUUUUGUUUUUGUUUACUUAUUUUUUGUUUUAGUUUAUUGAGUCUCAGGUUAAAAAGCAGAAAAACUCCAUUUACUUCAAAAAUUCUGGGUUACAGCAAUGGAACAACCUGCCCUCUGAAAAGAGCGGCUGUUCCAGGUGACCAUCUGACGAUAGAACACCCAGAAUUUUCAUGCAGUGCCCGCUCCACUCAGGUAAAUAUCUCGACUAAAAAAUGUUUAUUUUUGUUUUCACCUUCUCUAUGAUUUAUUUUCACACCAGGGACGGUGUGAAGUAAUUCUGGGGGAGAGUUUUCGUCGUUUACUAACUCGUUUCUUUCUUUUAUUUUUCUUUUGAGUCAGUUUUUAUGAUUGAGUCAGUGAAAAACUUUGUGGGAAUUAGAACCUUAUUCUGUGUUGAUCACUAACCACCUCAUGCUCUAGUUAUCUUAUUCAGUGACCUUAGCAGUGGCGAAAGACACACAUGUGGACCUGGAACACCCUGACAUAUCUCACUUGAUUCUCCAGAAGUUCUCAGCCGAUCAGGUUACACUGGGUAGACUUAACUCCACCUAACUUGAACCUAAUCUUGACUGAAAUUCUUCUUGUUAUAGGCAUUAGAUCAGGGAAACGAGAACACACUCAGGACUUCUUAUCCUUUUUAUCCAUCUUGCUGAUCCUGAGUGGCUAGCUCAUCUUUAGCUAGGUCCCACCCUGCACCUUAGCCUUUAUUCCCCCUUCAUGCAUUUGUUUAUCAAUGUCAUAUGUGCAGAUAUGUGCAAAAAGGUCGGAGAGGAAAGGAUCAACGCAGCAUCUUACUCGUUACUGCUGCAGAAAUUCAGUCAGAAAGGAGAACAAGCAGAUUAAGGGAAAAACUGCUCCAUAACCAAUGAAAUGCGCAAGAGCAGGGGUAGAGAACCAGAAUGGUUGCGAAAUCAGAACCACUAGUGGCAGUCAGAACCAUCAUGUAUUACAUCCUACUUCGUCACAUCACCAUAUCAGCCCAAAAAAAAAAAGCGAAAAUAAGGUGAUGGAGAAGGGGAAUAAAUCAAAGAAACAUGAGCCACUGGGAAGGUCGAGCAAAAGAGUGGGUACCAAAUUGAAAGAUUGGAGAGCAUGCAGAUGAUCUGAGCAGCCAUAUGGAUUAUCCAGACAGAACAUAAUAGUCGUUCCAGAAAAAGCAAAAACGAGUAGAGGCUGUGGCUCUCAAUGGAUCCGUCCUCUCUUACAGUUUUGUGUGAUAUCCUGCAUCCUUUAAAAAAAUGGUAACCCCUAAACACUUUUAACUCCACCAUCAAAUAGCACGUUCAAUACCUAGACCGUCUACCCUGAUUUGUGCAUGUGAUGAGAAGCUCACGCUACUCUUAAAUGAAUGUAGGGAGUUUUGUCUUGAUAGUGUUGCUUUUUCAGGUUUGAGAUGUUGAGUAUGGAGCCGGUUUUUGAACAGCAGUCAGUGGGGUUCCGGUAAGGGUGUGUUGUCCUAGUUUUACUGCUUGUAUGGUUCAGAGAUUCGUGGUUAAAGUAUGGUUGCUGAGAAUAGGAGAGUUCCCACACUUUCAAACCUUUCUCUCUGAUCUUGAUACUUGGCAUUGUUUGAAGACAAACAAGGAUCUAAGUCUGGGGGAAUUGAUAUGUUGUGUUUUUGAUACAUUCUUACAAUGCUUUCUUUAGUGUUUUUGAGUCUUUAUCGAGUCUUUCUAGCCUUUCGAGUCAUUACAGGUCUGGAGUUGCAUUGGGUAGGAGAUGGACCACUUGGAGCAAAAGAGGCAGAAAACACUGUAAUUUGGUGAUUUUCACGCAGAACUGUCUGAAGUGACUGUUCCCGAUCGAACAGAACAACCCGAAUGCAUGUUCCAACGGCAGAGAUUUUUAAGGCAACUUAUAAUAUUUCAGGAUUUUACCUAGGGUUCCUAUUUCUACUCCCAGGCCGCCAUAGACCUGCAUAUCUAUGUUUUCUUAUUAUUCUAGACAUUCUAUGUUACUUUUUAGAGAGAUUUUGGAGAGAGAAAACUUGUACUCUUGUUAAGGGUGAAGAAUCUCUACAUCCUUUAGAGAAGAUUUUUAAACCCUCUUUGCUUUUUAUUAUUGAUUCAGACAUGUUUUCUUCAUCUAUUAUCUCUAUGUUUUCUCUGUCCAUGGAUGAGUAAUCUGCUUGCUUAGUCUAGGGUGUUAGGGUGUUUAGAUCAAUGAGCUAAACACAAAUAAGGUUCAUUGUUAAUUGUCUCCAUUCAUGUUUAUGCUUACUGCCUGCAUUAAACUAGCUAUUUAUUUUUUGAACCUAAGUUUAAUCUAAUCAUCAAAAGUGCUUAGGUUGCUAGAAACAACAUGAAUAGGCAGCUUGUCCUUAAUCAGCGAAAGUAGAUGUUAGGGCAAAUUGUGAACUAAUCAAAUCUGUGAUUAUUGUUUGUCUUCAUGUUUUAAUCCAAACGAGAGUUUAGGUAUUAAGACUGAUUGAUGAAAGGAGAGAUACCACGAAAGUGGAUCGACCUGCUUGCGUAAUUUGAGUUCUAGACUCGUGCUUAAUAAAACCUUGAAUAGAUGUUUGCCUCAUGAUCGUUUGACACCCCAUCCUUCACCCUAGGCUAGCUCUUUAAUCAAUUGAAAACACCAAACCAGUCUGUUACUUGUUGUUACGAUUUCUCAACCUUUUAAACCCCCAUAUUGUUUUAGCUUAAUAUUGAUCCCAUAAAGAUAAAGUGUACUCGUUGGUCUCUGUGGAUUCGAUUCUAAAGUGCUACAUCGACAUACCAUUCGAUUGUGGUAUUGUACACAUUAGGUUAAUUGGUGUGCGUGUUUCACAAAAAAAAGUUAAUUGGUGUGCGUAUACACGUAAUAUCAUAGAUACACCAGCCAUGAUUCACAAGAAAAUACUCUUUAAGAUUGUUGGUCAUUAAGGGUUAUAACCCGUAAAGUUGUGAACUAUAUACAUUGAUAAUGAUUGAAUCGAUGUGCUUUCCUUAAAGAGUAUUUUGACCCUAUUCCAAACCUUGGGUUACAUGAAAUCCCUUUGUAGGAUAAGACAAUCAAAAGUCUCACUCUUGUUCUAGUCUAAGAUACAAGAGAAACAAAUAGAGCUUUAGUGUUUAUAUGUGUUUCUUCAAAGUCUUUGAUGAUCUUUGUGUUAAGCUAGAUGAGCUUCCAACCUAAAAUCAAUUGGUUUUAGGUUGAAAGUCCAUCUAGCUUAACAUGGUAUCAAAGCCAGGUUAACGCAGCCCAACCCGAUCCAUAUCGAUCUAGCCCAAAGUUGGCCCAUCGAUCCUUGCCCGAAUAUUCUGAGAUUGACGCUCAAAGAGCCAUCAUCUCGAGGGGGCGUAUUAGACACAAAGUAUCUCACAUCGGUAGUUGGAAGGGAUCCUAAGCAAUAUAUAAGAUUGAUGGAUCACUCCACUUAUCACCAAUUGGUUUUAGGUUGGAAUCACAUCUAGCUUUACAUGGUAUCAGAGCCCGAUCUACGCAGUCCAACCCGAUCUACAUCGAUCUGGCCAAAGUUAGCCCAUCGAUCCUUGUCCAAGCCUUCCGAGAUUGAUGCUCAAAGAGCCAUCAUCCUGAGGAGGCGUAUUAGACACAAAGUGUCCCAUAUAGGUAGCUGGAAGAGAUUUUUUGUAAUAUACAAGAUAUAUGAGGCACUCCACUUAUCACCAAUUGGUUUUAGGUUGGAAGCGCAUCUAGCUUAACACUUUGAACAAUGAAUCCAUUUCUCUCUCUCUUUCUUACUAACUAUUAGUUUCUGAUUUUUUCUAUAUCUAUUUGCCAAUGCCUACACCUCCUUAUAUAGAAAGUGAAGAUUUGCAACCAAUAGUUGCGAUGGUUAAACUAAAAAUUGCAAAGGUUAAUGAAGAGUUACAAUGGUUAAUAAAGAGUUACAAUGGUUAAUCACCAAAGGUUAUAAUCAUCAAUAGUUGCAAUGUUUUAUUUCUAUAGUUGCAACUGUUUGUACAAAAAAAUGCAAUAGUUCACGUGAAACUUUACACCUAUUCACUUAAAUAUAUAACAGUCUCUAGCUACAAAAAAAAACAAUAGGAAAGAGGGGAGAACAAUUACAAGAAACAUCUUUUGGAGAAGAAGCUACGACACAAAUAGCAAGAGACUCUAACAAUUACAAGAAACGUAUUUCAUUCAUGGUUCUUUUUCCUUUGUAUUAUUAAUUUUUAUUACAUUACUAAAAAGUAAUAUAAAAUGUAAAAAAAAAAAUUGUUUGAGAAUUUGUCCACUGAUGAUGCUCUUAUUUGAUUCUAUGAAGGCUUUUUCGUUUCUCAUAUCCUCUUGCAUUGACCUACGCUAUUAUUUGAAUUUUGUUUUGGUACUAAUGUUAAUACCAGUUUGAAAUAUCCAAUUGCAUAGGAUAAGAGUUCUAUCUACUUGAGGGAUAAAGUAUAUCCAAAGAGAGUCGGUUCUUUCGGAAACAAAUCUCAUAAAAGUUAUCACAGAAAGGUUCACAUGCAUAUAUAACAGAUGGCUGCCAAAACAGAAAAACUAUUUCUCUCGAAUAUUCUUUAACGGUCAAAUAGGCUCCAUCCAUAAUUAUAAGCAAACAUAAGCUACGAACUCUCGUGAUCUGGUGGUAAAGGAACCUCGGUUAAGGUGCCCGCCAUCACGAGUUCGAGCCCCGUCCACAGCGAAUUUAACAUGGUUUCCGUUUGGUCUCCAGGACCUUCUUCGCCAGUUCCGGUUGGACGCGGUGGGAUAGUCGGACUAAGUAAGAGGUCCGGCAAAGUUAGAAAACAAGUCAAACCUGCCCCGCUACAGGUUAAAUCAUAUUUUGAUUCAAAAAUACGACCAGCAUAACUUACAAAGUGUUAAUAAUCGACCCCAUUUCGUUAAAAUUUGCGGAUAACCUGAAAAUAUUUUUAAUGUUUUUAAAAAAUUAUGUUAAUUCAUUAUUUUAGAAAAUAAUACAAUUAUUUAUAUAAUAGAACUAUUUUACUUUUAUAUUUUUUUGAAGAAAAUCUGUUUUUACAAAAACAAAAUCUUUUUUAAAUUUUGCAAAUUGGCGGGUACCCGCAGUUCAAACUAGGUUGACCCGCACCUGUCUCAUAAAAAAUAAACUUAAACCGAACCUACAAUUCAAUUUUUUUAAAUCAGUUAACUCCCACAUGUCCUCACCGGUUAAAUGAGGUGGUAACCACAUAUAUUGGUACAAGUCUACACAUGAGCCAAAAUUAUAAAUUAUAUAAGAAUAAGGGAGAGAGUUUUUUAUUAUGUGGGGCUUUUUUGUAACAUGAAUUUGUUUCGGACAAAGCAUAUAUUAUCAUGAUGCAGGUCUUUUUCAAAUAUUUCUUAAACACUAAAUCACAUUUCCAUUCACCCAUAUUAUCCAAGAACAACCCAAAUACAACUAUAAACAAAUAUGAUCAAUCACAAUCAUAAUCAAUAGGCAAUAAGAGACACCAAUAGCCUCCCUAAACAAAAAAAAGAAGCGACAACCAUUUAAAAAAUCCAUGGGUCACAUAUGAUUGAGACAUAUUUUAGUGAUUAUAUUUUUCGCAAAUAGAAAAAUUGGAACUUUAGCUUGAUUGUUUUUUUUUUUUUUUUGAUAAUCCAGGGGUUCCCCACUUACGUGGAUCAUUCCCCUGGGCCCGAUUAGGCAGCGGUCCACUUCACCCGGGAGGGCUUUACCUGGGCUGGGGACAAGGCCCAACACCCAGUACCGCAUUUGGUGACAGAAUGGGCAGUUCGCCUCCGCCUGGCGUCGAACCCGUGAGCAUGACAAUUGGCCCACAAGGUCCUUACCAAGUGAGCUACCACAUCCCGUCAGCUUGAUUGUUAGUUUUUUUAACUUUCACCAUCCCAAUUUUUAAGCGAAGAAAUUAUUUUAGAGAAAUUCACUCGAAGGAAAGUUAAGAAGGAGGUUUUUUCAUUGUCCCCAAAAAGAUUAGAGGCUUCAAGUGCAUAGAUGACUUUGUUAAUUGUAAGGCUUGGCAUGCUUUCAAUAGCUCAUAACCACCUUUUUCUGUUAGCGUCUAUGAGAGAUUGAACAAUGGCAAAUGAGCUUCUGCUGUGCAACAUCACAAUGCGUGCCUUAUUCCUAAAAAAUAAUAAAAUAACAUAAAUCGAGGAAAAUUUUGUUCCAAGAUACUUUAAUUUCACAUCUUAACCGCAAUGGAAAAGAUGGUUUGCAUAAAAUUUUAACUUCAACUACCUUAUAUAGGUCCAAACGAGACCUUUCAAAUUAAUAAUCUGACCUUGAAACCAUUUUCAAAAGUUCCAGAAGCCUUUGCCAACAAUGUUAUCCACCUCAAAUUGUUUCUCUUCAAAAAUGAGAGAAUUUCUAUUCUUCCAUAAUCACCAAAGUAACCAAGGAAAGACUUGUCUGCUCUCAAUAGGAAUAUCAGAUAUUCUACUAGAACGAAGCAGAAAAUCAACAUUAUGAUAUGGAAGAUUCGUGAACGGCAUUAGCAAAGAAGAGAAAGUUUGCUACUACUUAAAUUUGUCUAGCAACAAGAUACAUGAUUAGUAUAUGAUUUUUAUUUUCAACUCCGAAAAUCCACCGUCAUUCCUCUUGACUAUAUGUUCUCAGCCACCGGUAUACCUAAAGAGAGAAUUUUCCAUGAGAAACCCUCAUCUUAAAGGGAGGUCAUAAUCUUCCACGCCUGCUCAUUCAAAGGACUAAUUGAAACAAGCAUCUCUUCUUAUCAUCUAAUUUCCGACUCUUACUCUUGGACCCCCAACUAGUAACCAACUUUGGCUGAAUACUCUCCAGAUUUGAAUUCCCUGGUUUUAAAAUUUUCAUUAUCUUGCGUUACUUUCAUUUUCUAAGAUCAGCUCAACAUCACAUGGAUAGAACAGUUCAUUAAGGAUUGUCCUAUUCCAAUCACCUGUCUCUAAAUCCAUCAAGUCUAAUAUUUUGAGGUCUAUGUUAACAUGGUUUUGUUUUUCAUCAAAGGAGCUCUUUUCUUUAUUUCAUCAUCAAUCCAAAGAGAAGAACAAGCCCAAGUGGAAACACCAUUCCCAAUCAUAUAAUUUAAUUCCUUACCUAGAAGUUCUUUUUUCCAAAUAGUAUACUCUUACAUCCAAAGAAAGGACGGAAACCAAGCAGUGCAUUCUCAAAGAAAACCUCCCCACAAUAUUUAUUCUUUAAAAAUCUGGAAAAGUGACAUUCAUGAUCCCUCAUUAAUCUCGACACAUGUUUGGCCGACAACACCGGGUUAAGCAAAUGAAUAUAUUUAAAAUACAUUUCCCCUAGUUGUUUAGGUAGACAGAGCUUCUCCCAACUGAUACAAUGGAUUUUCCUUUUAUCCUCAUUUAAUCUCCAAUGAUUAGUCUCCACAAGACUAACCAGAUUGUCAUAAGUCGGUUUUCGAAGUUUGAAAUAACUCAUGGCAAAGACAGAAAUGCAUAGUAGCAACUGAUUUGAGAAUAACCUUCUUCAAUCCUUGAGAUAAUGUCCUUGGGAACAAAGAUGAAAUCUCUCUUUCAUAUUGUCCUUAAAGAAGGUUGGCAUUUCCACUUUAGUUCCACUAGUACUAAGUAAGAACUUGCUUCUCCAACAUUACUAAUUUCAAGCUUCCCGUACUUCAUUGUCAUCUCUAAAUGUGACGAAAUAUUUGUUGAGACUGAUCACUUAUCCAGUCAGGCUUCCAUACUUCUCCAAGAUGCCUUGCAUCCGAUCACAUCUCUGCUUACAAACCUUAAAUAUAAACAUACUGUCAUCGGCGAAUAAAAGAUGAUGAAUGGGUGGACCUUGAUCUCAGAAUUGGAUACCUUUAAUACCACAUUCAUGUUCAGCCUUAUUCAUGAGGUGGGUUAAUCCUUUUGUGGUUGCAUCGUAAAGUUGGUUUUCGUUGAACAAUCAUACGUGUUCACCCCAACAGACCAUAAGUCCUUUAACUCAUGUAUCAAUGGUUGAAGAAAUACAUCCAGAGACCAUGGAUUAAUAUGCUUAUGAAUAAAAAUUCACGUUCCAUGCACAACUCCGGUGGCAAGUUGUACAACGUAAGAAUCAAAUGCCAUAAUGAAUAUUAUCUCCCAGGCAUUCCAAAUGGACUAAAUCAAUAUGUGCAUAACCCAAGAUAAACAUUUCGACUAUUUCUUGCAAAAUAUGGAUUUACAAUAUUGAAAUGUUUCCACGCUCUUGCAUAUAAUGGAUGAACGAUCUCUCCAUCCUUCUGAACAUGUUCUGCAUGCCAUCUCAUCGCUCCAGUAGUCUUCUCAGAUUGAUAUAAUCUUUUCCACAUGUCCUUAAUUGGUAGGUACCACAUCCUUUGGUACGGUACCAUAUUCCUCAUACGUUCUUGCGGUUUCAAUCUUGGUUUCUUGCGAAAACGAUGCUCUUCUAGAUUCUCAACAUCUUUCCAGUAGAUCAUGCAAUUGUCUAUACAAACGUCUAUCAUAUGUGAAAUCAAACCAAGACUAUAAACCAAUUUCUGAAUCUCAUAAUAAGAUUCAGCUGACACGUUGUCUUCUGGCAAAUACUCUUUAAACAACUUGAUAUACCAUGGAUUUUAUCCACGUUUAGCCAUGUGUUUUUAAAUACAUUAUAGUUGUUUUGGAGUCCUUUUAGUAUGAUUUCAGGUUUAGGUAAGUUUUGGAGGAAAGUGAUGAUUUUGGGGUCUUUUGGAGCAUUUUGAGUGCAGAACUGCACAAACAUGUCAGCUGUUUAGAUAUGGAUAGAGAUCUUCCCACGGUGCGAUUGCGCUAAUCUUUUGAUACAAGAUAUAUAUUUUAGUUAGAUUUCCAAGGCCACCAGUUUGAGGUCAAUCCAACAGUUAGAUUAGAAGUUAUGCCUAUUUUACUGAAGAGCGGUCAGUCUGUCUCGCGAGAGAGAACUGUCGAGGAGAUGAAGGAACGUCGGUCGACGGUGCACCCUUGGUGUCGAUUGACAGUAAUUCCAGAACAUGGGCUGAGUAUAUUUCAAGACCGACUUAAGCCCAGAAGAACCCACAAAUUACCAGAAUACCCAUGGACGACCUAAAACUCUAUUUAUUUAUUUUCUAAGCCAUGAUUGACGGCUAAGAUUUAUUAUAUUGUUUCUCUUAGGUUAGGAGAGAAGGGAGGAACUCCUUUAGAGUCCUCUUGGAACUCCUUUUGUUUUUAUAUUUUAUUCUAUUGCAAUUUCAUCUAUUCAUCUAUGGUUUUCUGUGACAACUAUCAUGCUUGAAUAGAUUCACCUUGUUAGGUUUAGGGUUCAGAUAGUCAUGAUGGAUUAGCCCAAAAUAUAUAACUAAUAAUUUGUCUGGAUAUCUAUCAAUUGAAUUGUCUUUAAUGCGUGUGUUCUAGAGUAGCUAAUUAGGACCAUGUUCUUAGAUAAUUUGGUGCAAGCGGAAGCAUGGUCCUUUGUCGGAUCUAAUUCAUAUUGUGCUAGGAUUGCUAAAAACAAGCGACAACUGAUUUAGUUAACCUAGUGAACACGUUCAAACCCGCUCGCUAAAGCUUGCUAGAAGGGACGUCGAUCGACAACUCCAUAGUUGCAUCGAUCGACAGACUGAAAGGUGUAUUGAUCGACUAUCCAUUGAUAGCAUCGAUCACCACUUUCUCAAGACCAACAAGCGACAGCUGAGGUCUUAGAUCUAGACAAUAGAUAAUCUAAACAAACAGAAGUUGAUAGAUUAUUACUUAAUUUGAGUUCUAGAAUAUCCAACCUUAGCAUCUACACCAUUAUAAUCCUGAUUACCUGAAUAGAAACCCUAAGUCUAGCAAAUCAUCAUUCCAUAACUCAUCAAUUUACUGAACAACUACCUUGUUCACUCUGUUAUGCUAUUUACCGUUUUAUAAUCUAUUAGCCUAGCUUAAUCAAUAACUAUUUAGAUUUAGUGUGUUCCUUAGCUCCUUGUGAAUUCGAUCCCUAAGUAUUACAACUUGACCUCUUAUUUGAGAGAGUAAAUCAAUCCUUAGGUUAAUUUGAGUGAUAUCACAACUCAGUCCAUGCAUCCAUGCAAUUUUUAGGUAAAUUAUGAUAUGUUUUAAUAUUCAUCAUCCUAUCUGCAAAAAACAAUGUAGGAGACCUUCUCUACAACCAGGGUAGAUUAGCUGAUUUGUAGCAUCUAACAUUUCAUAAAACAUUUUUGUUCCAAGUUAGGUUCUUCAACAUUAAGAGUUAUUUCAUCAGCUAUUGUUGUAGUUAUUUUUAAAAAUGCAUCUGCAACCAUGUCGUGAACCCUAUCAUAAUCUUUGUGCGUGUACAUCUAACUCUGUAAGUCGUAUAUAUUGCCUCAGAACAUUUUUUUUAUGUUUCACAUUUUUGUUCUCUUUUCUUUCUUUUUUGGUGUGAAUUUGGAAAUGAUCAAGUGAUAUAUUUAUGGGAAAUUCUCGGUCUUGGUAGAUGAAAAUUUAACAACUGAUUUACAACAAUACAUUUUACAACUUUUUAACAUUUUUUUACAACCACUUUACAACAAUAAUACGACGGAAGUUGUUUGGUAUAGCCCACAAAAUACAUGUUUUCACCAGUCACUUAAUUGUACUCGGAUAUAAGUUGCUAAGCCAAUGUAAAAUUAUUCGUCGUAAAUACGCACUUCCUUUACAACUACUUUACAAGGAUAAAUCAUUUCGUCUAUUAGUGGACGUUGGGGUUGUACCUUCCUUUACAAAUACUUUUUUUUUUUUUCCUUUACAAAUACUUAUUUAUCUAAUACAUAUAUUUUUCUUAUUCCUAAAAUAUCUACAAUAUUGUGGGGUUGAAGGCCGUACACUACAGGAAAACAUAUGAUUUACUAUGACAUUUUAGGACAAAAACUUGGCAUCGUAAAAUUACGACGAGCUAACGACUUCUUUAUGUCGAAAAAUGGUUUCAUUAAAAAAUAGAAGUAAAUAUACGAGUAGGAUUUUCGUCAUUAAAACGAAUGGCCGGGGCCAGAGUUCUUACCAACCUCUGCCUGUUCUGCUCUGAGUAAACCUCUGUAUUUUCAUUAUCCUCUAGUCCAUCUUUGAUGUUGACCUAACGGUUCUUUCAGCAGUUGUUUAGAGACCUUGUAAAUUUAGUUCUAGCUUAACUCGUUUCUUUAGGAACUAGCAAGGACUUUUCAGUUUCUCAAAGUGUUUUUUUUUUUUAUCUUUUUUGCACACUUAGAAACCUUCAUGCUUUAAUAGCAGAAUGGGAUCCAAGCUAAAAAACUUGUAUCAAAUGUUCAUUUUCAUUAAUGAUAUUCACAUUCUUAGCAAAAAAUAAAUAAAUAAAUAAGUAUUUCUAAAGAGAAAAAAAUAUGGAGUUUUGAGGUUAUAUGAAUAUGGUAUAAGAAAUUGUAAAUUAUUCAUUCACUUUUCUUUUUGUUCUUUUAUUUUUCUACAAAAUUAGUUAUUCAUAUAAUCAAUAUACAAACUCUAAAAUGGAGAUGUAUAUCAAUCAUAGUUUCUUUCUCAAGUGUUCUUUUUUUUCUUCGUAUUUGAUUUGUGUUUGUUCACAGCUGACAAACCUCAUCAAACUGUUUUAAAACACAACUAGAUACUGACCCACACGAGUUUUUUAUGAAAAAAAAAUAUAUUGAGUGUUUUUUGAAAAACUUUUAUAUUGUUAAAAAUUUAUCAUACAUAAAUUUUGAUAUAUAUGUUACAGGAAUUUCAGUAUUUUCUAGAUGUUUAAUAUGGUUUUCUAGUUUAUAUGCAGCAAUUUUAUUAAUUAUUUAAAUAUGUUAAAUGUUUCAAUGAUUGUUCUAUAUUUAUUUAUCUUGUUGGUUUAGCAUUGAAACUAUAGAAAUAUAACAUGAGUUAAAUAGAUAAAUAUACAUUUAUGUUGGGCUUUAUAUUAGCAUGUCGUACUAAACCCACAUAAACAUAAACAUAAACAUACAAAGUAAAUGAAAUGUGCUAUUAUAAAUAGGAAUGUGAUAUACAUUUUUUGGUCAAAUUGUGUAGGUUAAGAAGAAAAUCUUAACUAAAUAUUAUAUUGAAUAUACACGUUUGGAAAAUUAGUGUGUUCCUUAGCUCCUUGUGAAUUCGAUCCCUAAGUAUUACAACUUGACCUCUUAUUUGAGAGAGUAAAUCAAUCCUUAGGUUAAUUUGAGUGAUAUCACAACUCAGUCCAUGCAUCCAUGCAAUUUUUAGGUAAAUUAUGAUAUGUUUUAAUAUUCAUCAUCCUAUCUGCAAAAAACAAUGUAGGAGACCUUCUCUACAACCAGGGUAGAUUAGCUGAUUUGUAGCAUCUAACAUUUCAUAAAACAUUUUUGUUCCAAGUUAGGUUCUUCAACAUUAAGAGUUAUUUCAUCAGCUAUUGUUGUAGUUAUUUUUAAAAAUGCAUCUGCAACCAUGUCGUGAACCCUAUCAUAAUCUUUGUGCGUGUACAUCUAACUCUGUAAGUCGUAUAUAUUGCCUCAGAACAUUUUUUUUAUGUUUCACAUUUUUGUUCUCUUUUCUUUCUUUUUUGGUGUGAAUUUGGAAAUGAUCAAGUGAUAUAUUUAUGGGAAAUUCUCGGUCUUGGUAGAUGAAAAUUUAACAACUGAUUUACAACAAUACAUUUUACAACUUUUUAACAUUUUUUUACAACCACUUUACAACAAUAAUACGACGGAAGUUGUUUGGUAUAGCCCACAAAAUACAUGUUUUCACCAGUCACUUAAUUGUACUCGGAUAUAAGUUGCUAAGCCAAUGUAAAAUUAUUCGUCGUAAAUACGCACUUCCUUUACAACUACUUUACAAGGAUAAAUCAUUUCGUCUAUUAGUGGACGUUGGGGUUGUACCUUCCUUUACAAAUACUUUUUUUUUUUUUCCUUUACAAAUACUUAUUUAUCUAAUACAUAUAUUUUUCUUAUUCCUAAAAUAUCUACAAUAUUGUGGGGUUGAAGGCCGUACACUACAGGAAAACAUAUGAUUUACUAUGACAUUUUAGGACAAAAACUUGGCAUCGUAAAAUUACGACGAGCUAACGACUUCUUUAUGUCGAAAAAUGGUUUCAUUAAAAAAUAGAAGUAAAUAUACGAGUAGGAUUUUCGUCAUUAAAACGAAUGGCCGGGGCCAGAGUUCUUACCAACCUCUGCCUGUUCUGCUCUGAGUAAACCUCUGUAUUUUCAUUAUCCUCUAGUCCAUCUUUGAUGUUGACCUAACGGUUCUUUCAGCAGUUGUUUAGAGACCUUGUAAAUUUAGUUCUAGCUUAACUCGUUUCUUUAGGAACUAGCAAGGACUUUUCAGUUUCUCAAAGUGUUUUUUUUUUUUAUCUUUUUUGCACACUUAGAAACCUUCAUGCUUUAAUAGCAGAAUGGGAUCCAAGCUAAAAAACUUGUAUCAAAUGUUCAUUUUCAUUAAUGAUAUUCACAUUCUUAGCAAAAAAUAAAUAAAUAAAUAAGUAUUUCUAAAGAGAAAAAAAUAUGGAGUUUUGAGGUUAUAUGAAUAUGGUAUAAGAAAUUGUAAAUUAUUCAUUCACUUUUCUUUUUGUUCUUUUAUUUUUCUACAAAAUUAGUUAUUCAUAUAAUCAAUAUACAAACUCUAAAAUGGAGAUGUAUAUCAAUCAUAGUUUCUUUCUCAAGUGUUCUUUUUUUUCUUCGUAUUUGAUUUGUGUUUGUUCACAGCUGACAAACCUCAUCAAACUGUUUUAAAACACAACUAGAUACUGACCCACACGAGUUUUUUAUGAAAAAAAAAUAUAUUGAGUGUUUUUUGAAAAACUUUUAUAUUGUUAAAAAUUUAUCAUACAUAAAUUUUGAUAUAUAUGUUACAGGAAUUUCAGUAUUUUCUAGAUGUUUAAUAUGGUUUUCUAGUUUAUAUGCAGCAAUUUUAUUAAUUAUUUAAAUAUGUUAAAUGUUUCAAUGAUUGUUCUAUAUUUAUUUAUCUUGUUGGUUUAGCAUUGAAACUAUAGAAAUAUAACAUGAGUUAAAUAGAUAAAUAUACAUUUAUGUUGGGCUUUAUAUUAGCAUGUCGUACUAAACCCACAUAAACAUAAACAUAAACAUACAAAGUAAAUGAAAUGUGCUAUUAUAAAUAGGAAUGUGAUAUACAUUUUUUGGUCAAAUUGUGUAGGUUAAGAAGAAAAUCUUAACUAAAUAUUAUAUUGAAUAUACACGUUUGGAAAAUAGAAUAUACCUAUCCCUUUUUAUUAUCUAAGGAGCACUUUUAUUUAUUAAUUUUGCCCUCAUGUAUGAUUAACACAGUUACCAUUGCUUAGGUGUCAUUAUGAGAGGUAUCACUUGACUAGAUAAAUUACAUGUAAUGUCAUUGCACAUUAAAAUUAGAUAGUGAUUAUAAUAUAUGUUUUUCACAUUAAACUUUUGAUAUCUAGGGGUUUCUACUUUUUAUAUAAAUGUGUUUGCAGUUUUUUUCCUUUGUACGCAUAUUCAUAUAUGAAGAGCAUUAUAACGUUUUUUAUAUUUUUCGGAGGUGCACGAAGAUAAUGUUAUCAAAGCCUCGACUUAUUCUCAUCUUCUCUCAUUUGUGUAUCUGCAAACUUAAAAGUAAUUAAAAAUCUUUGUAUUAAUCUUAGUAGUAAGACGCAUUGUUUUUUUUUCUGUUGAGUUUUUGUUGACGAAAAUAGUGGAUAAACAUAUAUCAUUUGUCUAUUAUAUAUAUAUAUAUAUAAUUUUACUAUAUAUGACAAAACUUAUAUGGGAAAUCAACCCUAGAAUUUAAAUAAAUGGGGAUUUGAUGGUGUCUUUUAAUAUGAAAUCCAAUAAUAUUGGUUUCCUAUAUUUACUUGAUUCCAUUUGCUAAUUUUACGUUUGACCGUAAUUUAUGCAAUAGACAAAAUAUAGGAAACUAAUAUACGCAAUCGUCAUAACGCAAUCUGGUUUUAGUUAAUAUAGGAAAGUUACUAAUAAUUUAUACACAACUUUCAUGACCAGUUAAGAACUAUACACGAAAUUGUAGGGAUUUUUUUCCAUUAAUCUCGCAAUGGAAUAUAUUUGAUUGACUCAAUUCUUGUGGAAAAAACCCUAUCAGUUAUGACUAUAUAUAUCAUAAUAAACUUUCAUCUACCGUAUAAUUAUAUUGCCUAUGUUUUAUCUUAUAUUCAUAAUUUAUAUUAUGAAAGCAAUAAUUAUAUUGCCUAUGUUUUUUUGUCUUAAAUUCAUAACACAUUUUAUAUAAGUAUUUGCUUACUUUUAUAGAUUUGCUUCCACGAACUGUACUUCAAUUACACCUAACCAAUAACGCAAGUUUUUAAAAAAAAAUUGAAGCUUCCAUAUAUAGAUUAAACAUGUAACAUUUCGAAGAUAUGCACAAUUUUGUUUAAUAUUUCAUUAUAUAACAUGUAAAAUUUGUGACUAUGACUUUUACCAUUUUAAUAUCUAUAGAUUAAAAAAAUAUUAUCUCUUUUAGUACAUUCAGCCUGCGCAGAGCGCGGGUUACCACCUAGUUUUGAAUUAUUUAAUAACCAUUUCUUUUAUUAUUGAUAGUUUAUUAUAUUUGGUUAGUUAAAAUAAAGGAUUUAGAUUGGUAAAAUAAUAUGGCAUACAAUUAUGAUAUUUUUUGGAAAAUGAAUAUUCGUUUAUUUAGUGCGGUAGAAUUGGUUAAGGAAUACGUGAUUUUUGGUUGAGUAUAUCAAUUGAAUUAAGCUAGUUUUGGAAUGUUGUUAAAUGAUGAAUAUGACCAGUGGCAAGUUGUGUAAUAUUAAACAUGAAGUAAAAGUUAAUUCAUAAAUCUACUUUAGUUUGACCGUAAUUUAAUGAAAUUGGUUUCCUAUAUUUACUUGAUUCAUUUUGCUAAUUUACUUGAUUCAUUUUGCUAAUUUAACGUUUGACCGUAAUUUAUGCAAUAAAAAAAAUAAAGGAAACUAAUAUACGCAAUCGACAUAACGCAAUCUGGUUUUGGCUAAUAUAGGAAAGUUACUAAUAAUUUAUAUACAACUUUCAUGACCAAUUAAAAACUAUACACGAAAUUGUAGGGAUUUUUUUUGUCAUUAAUCUCGCAAUAGAAUAUAUUUGAUUGACUGAAUUCUUGUGGACAAAAAGUCUAAAACCUAUCAGUUAUGACUAUAUAUAUCAUACUAAACUUUCAUCUAUCGCAUAAUUGUAUUGCCUAUUUUUUAUCUUAUCUUAUAUUCAUAAUUUAUAUUAUGAAAGCAAUAAUUAUAUUGCCUAUGUUUUGUUUUAUCUUAAAUUCAUAACUAAUUUUAUAGUAUUUGCUUACUCUUAUAGAUUUGCUUCCACAAACUAUACUUCAAUUACACUGAACCAAUAACACAAGUUUUUAAAAAAAAAUCGAAGCUUCCAUAUAUAGAUAUGCACAAUUUUGUUUAAUCUUUCAUUAUAUAACAUGUAAAAUUUGUAACUAUGACUUUUACCAUUGUAAUAUCUAUAGAUUAAAAAGUAUUAUCUCUUUUAGUACAUCCAGUCUACGCAAGGCACGGGUUACUACCUAGUUUUGAAUUAUUUAAUAACUAUUUCUUUUAUUAUUGAUAGUUUAUUAUAUUUGGUUAGUUAAAAUAAAGGAUUUAGAUUGGUAAAAUAAUAUGGUAUACAAUUAUGAUAUUGUUUGGAAAAUGAAUAUUCGUUUAUUUAGUGCGGUAAAAUUGGUUAAGAAAUACGUGAUUUUCGGUUGAGUAUAUCAAUUGAAUUAAGCUGGUUUUGGAAUGUUGUUAAAUGAUGCAUAUGACCAGUGGUGUGUAAUAUUAAACAUGAAGUAAAAGUUAAUUCUUAAAUCUAAUUUAGUUUGACCGUAAUUUAAUGAUAUUGGUUUCCUAUACUUACUUUAUUCAUUUUUGUUAUAAAUCAUAUUGUGGAUGUCCAUAACCGGCUCGGUCCAUAACCGGCUCGGUCCAUAACCGGCUCGGUCCAUAACCGGCCCGGUCCAUAACCGGCCCGGUCCAUAACCGGCCCGGUCCAUAACCGGCCCGGUCCAUAACCGGUCCGGUCCAUAACCGGCCCGGUCCACCAUACCUAGAGAGAGAGAGACGGCCGCACCCUAGAGAGAGAGCCGGUGGCUGGAGAGAGAGAAACCCUAGUUUCCAUUUUCCUUAUUAAUCUAUGAUUUGUACUUUUUCCAUAUUUGUAUUUUUUUUCUCUAGUCUUUCCAUUAUUCUAUGACGGUGUAAUUCUCUAUAUAUAUAUGUAUGAAUAGAGAAUAAUAACAUAUGUAUAAACAUACAGAUUAUAUUCUCUUGAUUCUAUUCUAAGCUAAAGUCCCGAGACUCGAACCCUAAACCCUAACGGCGAUAAACCCUAAACCCGACGACGAACCCUAAUCUGAUCAAGAACCUAAAACCCCAUACUCAAGGCGUUCCCGAUCUCAACACGCGCCUCAGUCCGUUCCCCAGCUCGCGACCUCAGCUCAUUCGCGAGACACAAUCCCAGCAUGUUCGACGCGACCCGAUAGCAGCUUGCUCCCGUUCGCGAUAGAUGACCUCAGUCCGCUCCAGGACGUGAAGAUCUCAGCUCAGCUUGCGACCCGAUCAGUUCCAGCUUGCGGCUCUUCUCUAGUUGGAGGUCCAUUCAACCCGUCUUGAGGUUAAGGUAAAACUAAACCUAAUAACCAAACCCUAAGGCAAUAGAUCCAAACCCUAAAACUUGAAUUUGAAUCUAAUUGCUUGAUCUAAAUUGAAACCCUAAUAACCUAAAGCCUAGCCGCAUAUAUGCACCUUGCAUACCAUGCAAAUCCUAAUUUGAAAUCGAAAUUGAUUUUAUUGUUUAUGUGAUUGAAUGUUUUGAAUCUGAUUAUAAUCACAUAGAACCGAUUGCUAGGAUUGAUUAAACUCAUUCUUGAAUUUGGUUGUUUGAAUUGAUGAUCCAAUUGAAUGAAUUAAGGUUUAGGAAAUCGCCUAGGUUUAAGUUGUUCUCAUCUUGUUUAAAACUUAAUCCCACCGGCCUUGUUAAUAAUGAAACCCUAAUUGCAUUAAUCGCAUUGAAUAUGAUCGUUAGGUUGAUAGUAACUAAAUCCCUUGAUCCAUUGCUUGAUUAUUUGAUUGAGGUUUCAUGUUUCCAUGAUCUCUUAGAAACCGUCUUGCUGGGAUGAAUAACCGAUUGCAUUAAGAUCAUAUAGAAACUGUUUGAUAAGAUUGAUCAUCCCUUGUCUUGGCCGUGCGGCUUGCGUUUGCAUCAUACCCAUACCCAUAUGCAUCAUAUCUCUUUUGGCUGUGCGGCUUGUUGCAUAUCUGUUUAGCUUAUCUUGAUUGCAUCAUAUAGAACAUUGAACAUUAUAAUUCUAAGAUUGAAACAUAUAAUUUCAGAUGUCGAAAAUCAACAACUUAGAUUUUACUGCCCUAAAUCUCUCUGAAGAUAAUUACUUGCAAUGGGCACUUAAUGCUAAGAUCAUCCUAAAAUCCAAGGGACUCGGUGAAUGUAUCACCGAGGGCAAUAAUGCAAGUGAGAAAGAUUGAUAUGGAGCUAUAUUAAUUAUACGCCAUCAUCUUAUUGAGAGUCUCAAAGAUCAGUAUUUGACUAACACGCGCCUCAGUCCGUUCCCCAGCUCGCGACCUCAGCUCAUUCGCGAGACACAAUCCCAGCAUGUUCGACGCGACCCGAUAGCAGCUUGCUCCCGUUCGCGAUAGAUGACCUCAGUCCGCUCCAGGACGUGAAGAUCUCAGCUCAGCUUGCGACCCGAUCAGUUCCAGCUUGCGGCUCUUCUCUAGUUGGAGGUCCAUUCAACCCGUCUUGAGGUUAAGGUAAAACUAAACCUAAUAACCAAACCCUAAGGCAAUAGAUCCAAACCCUAAAACUUGAAUUUGAAUCUAAUUGCUUGAUCUAAAUUGAAACCCUAAUAACCUAAAGCCUAGCCGCAUAUAUGCACCUUGCAUACCAUGCAAACCCUAAUUUGAAAUCGAAAUUGAUUUUAUUGUUUAUGUGAUUGAAUGUUUUGAAUCUGAUUAUAAUCACAUAGAACCGAUUGCUAGGAUUGAUUAAACUCAUUCUUGAAUUUGGUUGUUUGAAUUGAUGAUCCAAUUGAAUGAAUUAAGGUUUAGGAAAUCGCCUAGGUUUAAGUUGUUCUCAUCUUGUUUAAAACUUAAUCCCACCGGCCUUGUUAAUAAUGAAACCCUAAUUGCAUUAAUCGCAUUGAAUAUGAUCGUUAGGUUGAUAGUAACUAAAUCCCUUGAUCCAUUGCUUGAUUAUUUGAUUGAGGUUUCAUGUUUCCAUGAUCUCUUAGAAACCGUCUUGCUGGGAUGAAUAACCGAUUGCAUUAAGAUCAUAUAGAAACUGUUUGAUAAGAUUGAUCAUCCCUUGUCUUGGCCGUGCGGCUUGCGUUUGCAUCAUACCCAUACCCAUAUGCAUCAUAUCUCUUUUGGCUGUGCGGCUUGUUGCAUAUCUGUUUAGCUUAUCUUGAUUGCAUCAUAUAGAACAUUGAACAUUAUAAUUCUAAGAUUGAAACAUAUAAUUUCAGAUGUCGAAAAUCAACAACUUAGAUUUUACUGCCCUAAAUCUCUCUGAAGAUAAUUACUUGCAAUGGGCACUUAAUGCUAAGAUCAUCCUAAAAUCCAAGGGACUCGGUGAAUGUAUCACCGAGGGCAAUAAUGCAAGUGAGAAAGAUUGAUAUGGAGCUAUAUUAAUUAUACGCCAUCAUCUUAUUGAGAGUCUCAAAGAUCAGUAUUUGACUAUUGAGAAUCCUCUAGACCUUUGGACAGAGUUGAAAACGAGAUAUGAUCACCAGAGAACGGUGUUAUUACCAAAGGCUAUCUAUCUUAAGGGUCAUGAGCCAGACAUAUCCCAUCUUAAGAUAUUUGGUUGUGUCUAUGAUUGGAGGAAUCUCAUAAUCCAGGACUUCAAGUUCGUGGACGAGUAUAACUCGGCCCUGUUUAAGAUAGUUUCUAAAUUGAAACUGUGUGGUGAGGAUAUAACGGAUAAGGAUAUGCUUGAGAAAACCUUUUCCACCUUCCACACAAGCAAUGUGUUGUUACAACAACAGUACCGAGAGAAGGGCUUCACAACUUAUGCUAAUCUGAUCUCUUGUCUCUUGCUCGCUGAGCAUAACAAUGAACUGUUGAUGAGAAACAGUGAAUUGAGACCUCCUGGAACAAACCCAUUACCUGAGGCACAUGCGGCCGUAGAGGAUAAGAAAGAGUCAAACCAUGUCCAGAGUGAUAGCCAACACGACCGUGGUCGUGGAAAAUGGCAUGGACGUGGUGGUCGAGACCGAAACUCGUUUGGUCGAGGCCAAGGCAACUCAUAUGGCCGUGGCUCCUAUGGAGGCCGUGGACAUGGCCGAGGCCGUGGUACAUCUUUCAAGCCACAAAACUCGACCAAAUCCGUGUGCCAUAGAUGUGGUAUGGAUAAUCAUUGGGCUAAGACAUGUAGGACUCCCAAACAUCUCGUUGACCUCUACCAAGAGAGUUUGAAAGGGAAGAAUCUUGAAGCUCAUAUGACUUAUCAAGAUGGUGAAUAUGAUUUCCAUCAUGAGGAUCUCAUGGAGUAUGAAACGUCUGAUUGUUUAAAAGAAUGAAGUUGAAUUCGACAUCUAUGUUUUUGUGUUCUUUGCUUUGUGUUUUCUAUGUUUUGAUUGCUUUGAACUUAUUUUAUUAAUGAAUGAAAGUUUUUGAUAUAAAAGUCUCUAAAGUCUCAUAGAGGGCUACGGCCAGGCUAAUAUCAUGUUGCCUAAGGGUACGCAUCUAGAGAUAUCUGAUGCAUUGUAUUCACCCAGCUCUAAGAGAAGCCUAUUGAGCUUUAAAGACAUUCGAAUGAAUGACUUUCAUAUUGAGACUAAGGGCGAAGGAAACAAAGAAUUCCUUCAGAUCAUAGAGAUCGGCCAAGGCUAUAUAAGAAAGUCCUAGAGUCUAUACUUGUGCUCUCUACUGGCCUUUUACAAUGCUAAGGUCGGAAUGAUAUAGACCAAUGCUGGUGAAUUCACGUCCCAAGCGUUUAAUGAUUACUGUAUGUCCAUGGGGGUAAGUGUGGAAUACUCUGUGGCACAUGUACAUACACAGAACGGCUUGGCCGAAUCAUUCAUAAAACGAAUUCAGCUAAUAGCUAGACCAUUGUUUAUGAGGUCUAAGCUUCCGGCCACAGCUUGGGGACACGUGGUCUUGCACGCGGCCGAACUGAUUCGUAUCAGACCGUCUAGUGAACAUAAAUAUUCCCCAUCACAAUUGCUUACGGGUCAUGAGCCAGACAUAUCCCAUCUUAAGACAUUUGGUUGUGCCGUCUAUGUACCAAUUGCUCCACCACAGAGAACAAAGAUGGGACCUCAAAGGAGGAUGGGAAUAUAUGUUGGAUAUGAUUCUCCCACGAUUAUAAAAUAUCUUGAGCCAACUGCGGGUGAUUUAUUUAAGGCCAGGUAUGCGGAUUGUCUCUUUGAUGAAUCCAAACAUCCAACAUUAGGGGGAGAUAGCAGUAAACUGGUAAAAGAAAUUACAUGGAAUCAAACAUCCUUAUCUUGGUAAGAUCCUCGGACUCAAGAGUGUGAUUUAGAAGUACAAAAGAUUAUACAUUUACAAAAGCUAGCUAAUCAAUUGCCAGAUUCUUUUGCUGACCCGAAAAGAGUGACUAAGUCAUAUAUACCAGCUGCUAAUGCACCAAUAAGAAUUGAUGUUCAAGAGGGACACAAUCAAGUUGCUACAGAGUCUAGACAACGUUUGAAACGUGGUAGACCAAUAGGUUCCAAAGAUAAGAACCCUCGGAAAACUAAGAAAGGUGCAGAGAUUGAAACCGAGGUUGUUAAAACCCUAGACACGACCGCGACCGUUCCUAAAUCCCUGGAGUUAGUCGCGGCCGAUCCCAAAACCCUAAUAGCGAUCGCGGCCGAUCAUGAAUGCUUAGAUGUGGCCGGCCCUGAUGUAUCUAAUACUGAUUCUUGGGAUGCCAAGAUUCAAGGUACUAAAGGUCCUGAUAAUAAUGAGAUCUCAAUAAACUAUGUCUUGUCUGAGAUACAAUGGAACAGAAAAAAUGUCGACAUUGAUGAUAUAUUUGCAUGCAAUGUAGCACUUGAAAUCAUGGAUGAUAAUGAGGAUCAUGAACCCACGUCUAUUUAUGAUUGCACUCAACGAUUAGAUUGGAUCAAAUGGAAAGAAGCUAUAAAUGUGGAGUUAAACUCUUUAAAGAAGAGAGAUUUCUUUGGACCAAUAGUCUAGACACCUUAUGAUGUUAAACUAGUCGGCCAUAAGUGGGUCUUUGUGAGAAAGAGAAACGAACAUGGUAACGUUGUUAGAUAUAAAGCACGACUUGUUGCACAAGGAUUCUCACAAAGACCAGGAAUAGAUUAUGAGGAGACAUACUCCCCUGUGGUGGAUGCUUCUACUUUUAGAUUCCUGAUAAGUCUGGCUAUAAGAGAAAAAUUAGACUUGCGGUUAAUGGAUGUUGUAACUGCAUACUUAUAUGGGCCACUGGAUAAUGAGAUUUAUAUGAAAGUACCAGAGGGUAUAGAGUGGAAAAACAAAUCGAGUACUCGAGAACAACACUGUAUAAAGUUGAAUAAAUCACUUUAUAAAUUGAAACAAUCAGGCCAAAUGUGGUACAAUAGACUAAGUGAGUACUUAAUGAAAGAGGGAUAUAAGAAUGAUCUGAUCAGUCCUUGUAUCUUUAUAAAGGAAUUCGGCCAGGGCUUUGUAAUCAUAGCAGUGUAUGUUGAUGAUUUGAAUAUCCUAGGAACCUCUUGAGAGAUUUCCCAAACAGUUGAAUAUCUUAAGAAAGAAUUAAAGAUGAAAGAUCUAGGAAAAAUGAAAUUUUGUUUGGGAUUACAGCUUGAGUACAUAAGAGAUGGAAUCCUUGUGCAUCAAAUGGCAUAUACAGAAAAAUACUCAAGAGAUUUAACAUGGCCGAGUCUCACCCCUUAUCUAGCCCCAUGGUCGUGAGGUCUCUCGGCCUGGACACUGAUCUAUUCCGUCCUAAGAUGGAUGAUGAAGAUGUCCUUGGUCCCGAAGUGUCAUAUCUCAGUGCCAUAGGAGCUUUGAUGUAUCUGGCUAGUCACACACGACCAGAUAUAUGUUUUGCCGUGAAUCUAUUGUCUAGAUUUAGCUCUUGUCCAACCCAAAGGCACUGAGACGGGAUUAAACAUAUUCUUCGUUACCUGCAAGGAAUGAAAGACUUGGGUUUAUUUUAUACUAACCAUAACAAAGAAGGAUUAGUUGGCUUUGCUGAUGCAGGUUAUCUCUCGGAUCCUCACAAUGCUCAAUCACAGACCGGCUACGUCUUUACUCAUGGUGGUACGGCCAUCUCAUGGCGUUCCAUGAAGCAGACAAUCGCGGCCACUUCAUCAAACCAUUCAGAAAUCUUGGCUAUUCACGAGGCCAGCCGCGAGUCUGUGUGGUUACGGUCCAUGACCAACCAUAUCCGAGUUGAUUGUGGGAUGACCGAAGGCAAGGAUGCACCAACCGUGAUAUGUGAGGACAAUGCAGCUUGCAUUGCUCAGCUUAAGGAUGGCUACAUCAAAGGAGACCGGACGAAGCACAUACUGCCUAAGUUCUUCUUCACGCACGAGCUUCAAAAAGCCGGCGAGGUCCAAGUCGUCCAAGUGCAUUACAGUGACAACUCAGCCGACCUGUUCACCAAAUCAUUUCCUACCUGCACGUUCAGGAAGCUCACGCAUCAGAUUGAGAUGCGUAGACUGAAAGACCUUCAGUGAUGUUCAGAACAGGGUGAGUAAUAAGUGUUGUACUCUUUUUCCUUCACCAUGGUUUUGUCCCACUGGGUUUUCCUGGUAAGGUUUUAAUGAGGCAACAUCUAAAGUGUAUUAAAAACUUUGUAUGGUUAUAGCAUCCAAUGGGGAGUGUUAUAAAUCAUAUUGUGGAUGUCCAUAAUCGGCCCGGUCCAUAACCGGCCCAUACCUAGAGAGAGAGAGACGGCCGCGCCCUAGAGAGAGAAAGAGAGAGAGAGAGAGAGAGAGAGGGAGAGAGAGAGAGAGAGAGAGAGAGAGAGAGAUCUGGUGGCUGGAGAGAGAGAAACCCUAGUUUCCCUUUUCCUUAUUAAUUUAUGAUUUGUACUUUUUCCAUAUUUGUAUUUUAUUUCUCUAGUCUUUCCAUUAUUCUAUGACGGUGUAAUUCUCUAUAUACAAAGGGCUUCUUAUGUUUAUGAAUAAUAACAUAAACAUACAAAUUAUAUUCUCUUGUUUCACAACAAUUUUGCUAAUUUACUUGAUUCAUUUUGCUAAUUUUACGUUUGACCGUAAUUUAUGUAAUAAAAAAAAUAUAGGAAACUAAUAUACGCAAUCGACAUAACGCAAUCUGGUUUUGGUUAAUAUAGGAAAGUUACUAAUAAUUUAUAUACAACUUUCAUGACCAAUUAAAAACUAUACACCAAAUUGUAGGGAUUUUUUUGUCAUUAAUAUCGCAAUGGAAUAUAUUUGAUUGGCUCAAUUCUUGUGGACUAAAACCUAUCAGUUAUGACUAUAUAUAUCAUACUAAACCUUCAUCUACCGUAUAAUUGUAUUGCCUAUGUUUUGUCUUAUAUUCAUAAUUUAUAUUGCAAAAGCAAUAAUUAUAUUACCUAUGUUUCGUUUUAUCUUAAAUUCAUAACUAAUUUUAUAUAAGUAUUUGCUUACUCUUAUAGAUUUGAUUCCAGGAACUAUACUUCAAUUACACUUAACUAAUAACACAAGUUGAAAAAAAAAAAAUCAAAACUUACCAUAUAUAAAUAUGCACAAUUUUGUUUAAUCUUUCAUUAUAUAACAUGUAAAAUUUGUCACUAUGACUUUUACCUUUUUUAUAUCUACAGAUUAAAAGUUAUAAUCUCUUUUAGUACAUUCACUCCGGCGCAGGGCGCAGAUUACAACUUAGUUUUGAAUUAUUUAAUAAUCAUUUCUUUUAUUGUUAAUAGUUUAUUAUAUUUGGUUAGUUAAGAUGAAGGAUUUAGAUCGGUAAGAUAAUAUAGCAUACAAUUAUGAUAUUGUUUGAAAAAUGAAUAUUUAAUUAUUUAGUGAGGUAUAAUUGGUUAACGAAAUACGUAAUUUUUGGUUGAGUAUAUCAAUUGAAUUAAAUUGGAUUUGGAAUGUUGUUAAAUGAUGCAUAUGACCACUGAAAAGUUGUGUAAUAUUAAACAUGAAAUAAAGAUUAAUUCUCAAAUGUAAUUCAGUUUUAAUAGAUUAGAUUACUAAAACAGAACGGUUCCUAAUAUGAUUCACUCUGCAAGCAAUGAUUCACUGCAUUUGGCAGGAACGAAACUAAAAACGCCAUGGAGAAAAACCAGUGGAAUCGUAACGUUUGAUUAAAACUGUGGUCCGUCGAUAAUAGUUCGCAAUAUGUUCCUGUCAAUCCAACAAAUGGGAGAAGACACUUUGGAGGAUGGUCUACGCUGAUGGUUAGCAACAAGAACGUGAUCUAAUUUUUACCAAAAAAAAAGGGACAUGAUCUAAAUAUUUUUUUUGAACUAAGAACGUGAUCUAAAUAUUACAUAAGAUUAUGCAAAUAAGUUCAAAAAAAUAUCAAGAACGUGAUGGAAGGAAAGGAUUUGAAACAGGAACGUGAUCUAGAGAAUUUUUUGAUUCUUUAUUUUCCAAACAACAUCAGAUGAGAUCUACAAGCAUCUGAUGUACAAAAGUAUUCGAUUAAAAAUACUCACUAGAAAAAUUAACGCUAAAAUUGUUGUUAAGAUAUAUACAGUAUUACUAUUAGCAAAAAAAUCAUGUAUUAUUUGAAUUUCGUAUUCUUGAAAUACAAAAAAAAAUAACUGAAAUUUCUUAGCGGUAAAAAAUUUAAGUUUGUUAACUUUGUCAUCGGCUUAUUGUUUAUUAGUCUAUAAGUAACUGUGUAUCCCUAAUUUUGAUUAUCUUGACCUUACUCAGUAAAUGAGCCAUCUUUAUACCUUCGAAUCUUUAUACUAGGCCUGGGCAUUUUGGGUAUCGGUUCGGUUCGGGUUUCGGGUUUCGGGUAGUUCGGAUAGGGGCUAGAAGAUCCAUUUAGUACUUGACCUAUUUUCGGUUCGGUUCGGUUCGGAUAGUUUCAGGUUCGGUUCGGUUCGGAUAGUAAAUGUAGGAACCGGAAAAUAUCCGGAAAAAGUUCGGUUCUCAUUUGGAUCCGGUUCGGAUUCGGAUAGUUCGGGUAGUUCGGAUAAUUUGGAUAAAAUAUUGGUUAUUUAAGGUAAAAUAUCAAAUAAUUAGGAUGAUUUAGAUAAAAAAAAUUAGAUAUUUCGGAUUACUUUGGAUAUUUCGGAUAAAACUAUCUGGAUAGUUUCAGAUACUUUCGGGUGGUUUGGAUAUCUAUAUAUAUAAAAAUAUGUUGGUGACCCUCCUGUGAUGCCACGUGGAAAGUCAUUCUCUGACAGGGCGACACGUGUCCGUCUUCUGGGUUUUAUUUCUUUGGUUGGGCUUGAGUUGUCUUUUGGGAUUUAUUUCUUUGGUGGGCUUGAAUUUAACUUUGAGCUUAUACUAUGAACAAUUGACAGGGCUUUUUACUCUUUAAUAUUAUUGAAUGUGUUAAUUAUUUCUUAAUACAUAGUAGAUAAAAAAAACACACAUUACAAUAUGGACGUUAUAUUAUCAUCAAAGCAAUCUUUACCCUAUGUACCUCAUCCUGCGAUAAUUUAUAAAGUAGCAACGAAUCUAUGAGUUCAGCAAAUUUGCAAUUACUUACAUCGGAAUUUUAAGUAUAUAAACAUUCAAUAGUAAUGUGUUGAAUAUUAUAUUCAUAUGAUUUAAAAGCCUUUACAAAUUUUUAUUUUUAAACAUACAUCAAAAACUUUAUGAAAGUAAAUAUUCAUGCAGGUUCUCAACCACUUCAAAUACCACCAACGCCAAACAAAUUUAAUCAAGUGCACGAAAACUAUAAUAUAUUUAAAACUACAAUAAAUACAUUAGUUAAUGAAAAAUCCUUUUUAAAAAAUAUUAUGGAUGCGUACAUAAAUACUAAGAGAAAUGUAUAAAAAUAAAUAAAAGUAACAAUAACUCGAAGAACAAAAUGUAUAAGACAGAGAAUAUUUAUGAUUUGUGGUCUAAGAUAUAUUCAACUUAUUGUCCUAAUCAAUGCGGAAUAAACAUUGAAUAAUAUUUUUUUUAAAAUUAUAUAUACAUAGAAAUAUUUUUAGUGGUAGGGUAUAUUUAUAAUUUCCAAUAUUUAGCAAAAUAAAGAAAAAGAAAACAUGGAUGUAUAUAACCAUAAAAAGAAAACUACUUUAAAUAACUUAAUCAAAACAACAACCACGUACAACUAAACCCGAUGAGCGUUCCAACCUCAAAAGAAAUAUGGUAUAAGAGUUUUUUGGCAAAAAAAGAUGGUAUAAGAGCAAUGCCAAGACAUGACAUAUAGUUUUGUACUAACAACUUACCAACCAAUUUAAUUUACAUAGUUCAUUUAACAGUAAUCAAUAUACAGUAAUAAAAUCUAAAAUUAAAUAAUUCUAAGUUGAUGUCUAACGGAGUAAUUUUAAAAAUAAUACAAUAACUAAAAGGGGAUAAGCUGAUCAUAGAGACCCUCCACGUCGGCAAUAAAAAUCAGCCAAUUAAAGAUCAGUAUGAUGCCACAUCACUCAAGCUUCGUCGCCCUAGCAUGUCUCUUCUUCUUCCCCUCUAUGUGUUUCUAACUUCUCCAAUUCUCAUCUGUAACGUCGGGCUCCAGAUUUGUCUUCUUUCUAUAAAUCGAUCAAAGAAAAUAACAUCAAGAAUCAAAAACGGCUGUUUCUAAAGGAAUCAGUGAUACAGAUAAAAAAAAACACCAUUCAAUGGAUAUAAAGGUCUUCUCUUUGUGGCUACUUGAUUUCAAUUUUCAGGUCAUCUUACUAUGAAUUCAUGUAUUAUUAAAGUUCUGCCAUAUAACCAUCAAGGAAGUUUUCAUAGUUUGAUAUUUGGAUCCAGAAAGGUUUUGAUUGGAUUUUCAAACCUUGGUUUUACAUUUUGACUCUUUUUUUAUUGUCUCAUUAUUAAGAAAUUGGGGAUUUGAUCGUCGCAGGAUUUGGUUAUUCUCAAAGGUCUGUAUACGGUUUUCGGAAUCUCUCCUCCGCCACCACUUGCACAAUUUUUAAACAGAGGUCUUCACACUCUGUCUUUGCCAGAAACAGCCAAGCCGGAGGUCGCAACUAUCUGCAAAAGUUUGUGCUUUUUCCUCUAAUCAAACAUAUUUUAUUCAGACUUGGCCUAACAUAUUGUAUCAUCAAUUUCUAAAAUAGUUAUUGCAUGGAUGAACUUUGUGCUUCUUCCUCGAUCAUCAGAUAUGAUGAACUUUGUUUUUCCAGUUCAUGGUUUAAGCCUUUAAGGUACCUUUUACGUUGCUAUUCAUAGUUUAUUUGAAUAAGAUGUUAUUAGGUAUUUUUCAAGUUGGGGGGUGAAAGUUCAUGUUCUUCAUUUUCUAGGUUCAGAUCGCUUUCAAAGUCUUAUAUAUUGUAUUAUGUUUUGGCGAUGAUAGUAGCAGGGCUACUGAAAGUAUGUUACUGAAACAUUCAGAGUUCACUACAGGAACAAGAAAGGUACACGUUUAAUUGCUAGAAGUCAUGAAGGUUGGGUUUCUUUGACACAAGAUCAAAAUCCAUGAGCUUUAGCGUUUGGAUCUGGCUAUUUUUGGGAAAGAAUGAUGUAGAUGUUUCAAUGUAUCAGGAUUGUACUCUGGUUGAACCCAAAUGGUGUUUGAAUGUUUCAGUACGAGUCUGGGUUCUCCAAAGGAAUCAUACGAGGUCGGCCAUGGUUAUGGGUUGUUGUUUUAGAAUGAAACAUACAUGUAUUAUAGUUGCUCAGAAUAAUAUAGUUCUGGAGUGGUUUAUGUAUCUCUCAGUAUGUAAGUUAUCGGAGUUGUCGCGUUAAGGUCUGCUCUAGGUUAUGGUCAUUUGGCAUUUAUUUAUCAAACUAUGCAGUUGGUCUUUUUGAGGGCUCAUUUAUGGUUCUGGAUGGGUUUAUAAAGCUUUCAGUUUCAUUCAUUCUAUCAAGUUAAAAACACUCUAAGAAGGUGAUUAAGCCAAAAUCAUCACAGGAAUGGACUUUAUUGAUGGGAAAUGAGUCGGUUGCUCUCUGGUCUGUACUUUUAAAAUUUUUGGUAAAUGGUGGUUGCAAAGUACUAUGACAGAUAUCUGAUGCUAUAGCUCAAUCCGAUCUAAUCUUAUUUUUUCAUUGUAGUCAAGUAGUUAUUUUUCAUUGGAGUUAACUAGCUUUUUCAGUAAUGAAAUUAUUCAAUUUGAGUCUGCUGUAAUAUCUGUUGGUUUUGAGAUUAAAAAAAAAACUAUUACUACUCCACACAUAAAUAUUACUAUUAAUUUUUGCACCAACAUUAAUUUUCACAUGUCAUAUUCGACCAGACCAUAUAUUAGACCAUAUAUUAACGCCAAGAGAUUCUAUCGUACUAACCAAUAUUUAACUGUUUAUUCAAAACAAUCAAUUUUAGAAAUACUACGCCUUUUUCCGGACAAUUUUUCUCAAGAAAAUAUUAUAUAUUUCACUAUUAUAUUAUAUAGAAUGUGUAUAUUGUAAAAUAUGUAAAAUAAUUGCAAUAAAAAUUACAGAAUAAUUAAAUCAGCAUUACUUAUUUUAGUAUUAAAAAGUACAUUAAGCACAAAACUAACUAAACUUAUGAAUGAUUUUUGGGUUUCCUCUCUACUUUUGACAUGUUACUUUGGAAAAAAAAAAUUGUAUGCUUUUCAAGAUGAUUGGAACGCAAUAAACGUCAAUACAUAUCUUACAACGUAUUUUUAAUUAAAUUAUCUUAGUAGUCAUUGAUCAGUCCAAGAAAAGUAGAUUAGUUAUAACCAGUGAUAAACUAAGACAUGGUAAAACUGGAGCUGAGAUUGUAAGGAAGAGUCAAUGUUCUAGUUCCAUGAGUGUGACUUCUUCGAAUAUUAUGCUUGAAGGCUGUUUAUAACAUGUACAAAAUUCUACUAAUCAUCUAAAGGGCUUUAGCAAUUAAAUUUUGAUUUCAUCAUUUGUGAUUCGAGAUAUUUAAACACAAACAGCCAAAAAAUAAUCAAGGUACUAAAAUGUUAUACUUAAGAAUUGCAUCUAAAAAAUAUUAUUUAUAAUUGUACAUAUAACUAUUUUAAUAAUUUAAAUUAAAAUCUUAAAUUAAUAUAUUAGUUAAUUUUAAUAUUUUGUGUCUUUUCGGAUAAAACUUGAUAGCCUGAAUAAAAAUGCUCAAAAACUAUGUAUAAUAAAUAUUUUUGGUUAUUUUGGUACAUUUGAAUAAUUUGGAUAUAAAAUAGAUAAACUGAAUCGGGUAAUAUUGUUAUCUUGGGUACAAAUAUCCGGACCCGUUUAAGAUGUAUUGGUUAUUCGGUUAUUUUUAGAUUUCUAUAUAUCAUAACUGAACUCACCUGACUCAGAAGGAACCCUAUACAAAAUUUUGUAAUAUUCGAAGAUGACCUAAUUUAAAACACCAAAAAAACUAAUAUGUGAAAGAACAGACCCGUACCCGAACGUCCAUACCUAUAAUUUUGAGAUUGUUUAAAUUUUUGUCCACUUAUUUGUAGGAUUUUUGAGCUACUAUUUAUUCAUGGUGUUCUUAUGAACAUAAGUGCAUUGACUUCUAAGACUUGAACUUAUAUAUUUUUGAUGUGAAUGCCACAAUUUCUUUUAUGUCCAAAUAACUCAUUUUCUAAUUUACACAAAAACUCAUUUUCUAAUUUUCUCCUCUUUUUACCGUCCAAUAUGGCUCUCCAUUAAUCUUUUGGCAACUACUUUGUUUUUUCUAUUGCUAGCUGCCUAUUCAAAUUAGAUCAAGUGUUGGUUAGAAGUUAAAACAAUUACUUCUGUGUGUUUUGCGGUGAAAAUCAAUGUUUGCGAUUUUAUUGCAUCACUGGCCAUUCUCUUUUCUUCUGCUUACCACAAAAAAAAACACCAUCAAUUUGAUCGUUUUUCUUUAUUUCUUUCUCAAGCAUUUUUAUUACUCGCAAGUGCUAAUCAAAAUAUUAUCGGCACAUAUCAAUGUAUCUUCUCUCUCUAUCUGCACAAAUUUGGAGGGUUUCUCUGUUUCUAAAAUAAAAAUGCUCAAAAACUAUGUAUAAUAAAUAUUUUUGGUUAUUUUGGUACAUUUGAAUAAUUUGGAUAUAAAAUAGAUAAACUGAAUCGGGUAAUAUUGUUAUCUUGGGUACAAAUAUCCGGACCCGUUUAAGAUGUAUUGGUUAUUCGGUUAUUUUUAGAUUUCUAUAUAUCAUAACUGAACUCACCUGACUCAGAAGGAACCCUAUACAAAAUUUUGUAAUAUUCGAAGAUGACCUAUUUUAAUAUUUUGUGUCUUUUCGGAUAAAACUUGAUAGCCUGAAUAAAAAUGCUCAAAAACUAUGUAUAAUAAAUAUUUUUGGUUAUUUUGGUACAUUUGAAUAAUUUGGAUAUAAAAUAGAUAAACUGAAUCGGGUAAUAUUGUUAUCUUGGGUACAAAUAUCCGGACCCGUUUAAGAUGUAUUGGUUAUUCGGUUAUUUUUAGAUUUCUAUAUAUCAUAACUGAACUCACCUGACUCAGAAGGAACCCUAUACAAAAUUUUGUAAUAUUCGAAGAUGACCUAAUUUAAAACACCAAAAAAACUAAUAUGUGAAAGAACAGACCCGUACCCGAACGUCCAUACCUAUAAUUUUGAGAUUGUUUAAAUUUUUGUCCACUUAUUUGUAGGAUUUUUGAGCUACUAUUUAUUCAUGGUGUUCUUAUGAACAUAAGUGCAUUGACUUCUAAGACUUGAACUUAUAUAUUUUUGAUGUGAAUGCCACAAUUUCUUUUAUGUCCAAAUAACUCAUUUUCUAAUUUACACAAAAACUCAUUUUCUAAUUUUCUCCUCUUUUUACCGUCCAAUAUGGCUCUCCAUUAAUCUUUUGGCAACUACUUUGUUUUUUCUAUUGCUAGCUGCCUAUUCAAAUUAGAUCAAGUGUUGGUUAGAAGUUAAAACAAUUACUUCUGUGUGUUUUGCGGUGAAAAUCAAUGUUUGCGAUUUUAUUGCAUCACUGGCCAUUCUCUUUUCUUCUGCUUACCACAAAAAAAAACACCAUCAAUUUGAUCGUUUUUCUUUAUUUCUUUCUCAAGCAUUUUUAUUACUCGCAAGUGCUAAUCAAAAUAUUAUCGGCACAUAUCAAUGUAUCUUCUCUCUCUAUCUGCACAAAUUUGGAGGGUUUCUCUGUUUCUAACAGGAUAAUUAUCUUUGGUCUUCUACAUGUUUAUUAAUUUGGUUCUUUUUACCAUUCUUUCACUUUGAAUAUUUGUUGUCACCAUAUUUUUUCUCUCUUACCAAUCAUUGUAUUGUCCAGAGGUCGAUCUCUUCCUUCUACAUCCUAAAUCUCUUCUACAUACCCAGAUUAUAAAUGUUUGUUAUUUAUUAGCUCUCUCUAGUCUUUUUAUAAUAUACUGUUUUUGUUCGUCUAGGUUCCAGUAAAUAAUCGUAACAUAAAUGGGUAGAACAAAUUAGAAGUGGAUAGUUAACCAAUAUGAAGGAAUAUGGAUAAAAACUAAUUCAUACAGAAAAUUCCAUCUAUAAAAAUAGUAAAAAGCAGAAGAAAAAAAAAUAUGUUAGAAAAACUAUGGCAAAGUGUUGACUCUCGAGAAAGGGGACACCCGGAGCGCGGAGAUUUAGAAAAAAGUUGCGCUUCCAAAGAGACUUUACAGACCUUACAUAGAAAAGGAGCAUAGUCAAUCAAAUGUAUCUUCUAAGCAGAAAAUGUGAAGAAAGAAACUAUAACAUAAAUCACAGGGAACUCUUAAACCCCUGAAUAAACCUUUUUUUUAUCUCGUAGAUCAAGUGAUCUUAAUACGUGUGCGGGUUGUACUUGUGUUAGGCGAGUUUAUUCUUCAUCUUGAUAACACCUGCUUUUGUUUAGGCAAAAGGAAAGGGUAAUUUGUUAACUUUUUAAAAAUAAAAAUAAAACUGAACCCAAGAAUAGAUAUCUACUGGAACAAAUCAUUUGAAAGAUAAUCAAAAGCUUUUGUAACUUCCGUGAAAAAAAAGUCUCUAGAUUUAAAUCAAAAGCCGCCAAAGUAAUGAGAGAUUAUCUAUAUACACGUGAUGGAAACUCAAAACAUGCAUGUUUGUUGUUUCAAUGGAACUGAAGAAACAAAAACAUUUGUCACCACAAAAGCAGAAUUAAUUAUUGGUGUUGUUGGGGACUCUUAUUCAAGAAGACGGUUAUGGCGGAAGUGAUAAUCUCAAGAGUACAAAACACCAUAGAGAAGUCUAUUCCACCUACUAUAUGAACGAUAUGCAAAAAAUGAUGAAAGUAUGAAGCAAAAUCCUAAAAAUAAGGUUUAAUUGACACCAUUGGUUUGAGCUACAACAUAAACUCUUUUUAAUGAUGUUGAUAAACUGACACCACUUACAGAAGGUGCAUGCUUCAGACUAAGUGCUGCAGGCACAUACGACAGUCUCUUGAUCUUAUCCAUCUGAGUGUUUACAGAGGAAAACGUAAACUCUUUAGUGUAGUUUGAUGAGUAUAUCAUCGGAAUUUAAGAAAGUAUCUGAGAAUCCAAAACUACAUGUAUAAGCAAUCAGAAUUCUAAGCAACUUCAUAUCUUUCAACCAAGAAAAUGGACAUCAUAAGUUUUCAGAACAUACUGACCACAAAAAGUAUGAAUCCAAAAUGUUUUAGAACCUCUGUCUCCUCACGGUUCUAUUGCUUCAUGCACCACCAAUAGAGCCGAUACUCUCUCAUCUGUCUCCAGAGCCCCACUCAUACUCUACAUCUUGAACCUGCCUAUGAAAUUAGCCCGAUAAAGUGAUGGAGGUAAUAAUGAACUCACAGUGGAGCUAGGAAAGAGCUUACUGAAAGGAACUUUCAAUCCAGUGUUUGGAUCCGUAGUGACUGCCUUUACAAUUUCUUCCUGCAAAAUGUACAUGAAGAUUAGAAAUCUAACGCAAUGUUUUGAAAUGGGUUUGGUUUAAGAGAAUCAUAUUAGAGGUUUAUAUAGGAUGAUAAACAGAUGGAGUUGGAACGAUUCGUUCGUUGCUUAUUAUCAUGAGAGCAGGCAGUGAUUGUAUUGCUGUGGUGGAGGCUGAGGCAGAGGCGGAAAGCGUACUGAGAAGUACUCCUGAUAGGGUCUCCUUCGUGCGAAAACGUUUGAGGUGGAGGUCCGGAUGGAUAUCACAGCGGAAGACACUGAGAUUGGUAACAUAAUCGAUUUGAUCACCAGAAAAAGAGAGAUUUAGAUCGAGCCAGACGAUCAAAAGGCUCGUCCUUCUACCGCAAGGAAUCCAAACAAAAUAGAACAUGGCUUACGAUAUUACAAACCUGGAGAGGAUACAAUUCAUGCCGCUUUAGCUUUAGAACUGUUAGGGGCCAUUGUUGAUUGGGUUUCAUCACCAUAACUUCGGCUUAUGAGAGUUUCGGGUUUCUUUGGAAGUAAGUUUAUAAAGAAGUAGAAAGAAAAGAAGGUGAUACGAAUUCAUUAAGUGGAGAGUGAAGAACAUAAUUAAUUGUUGAAGUGAGCGAAGCUCUAACGGAGAUUUACUAUAGGAAACAGAGAAGACGUACUAUCUUUGAAGAAGAUGAUUGACGUUUCAAUCGGAGGGUUUCAGAUGUGGGCUCAAACUUCAAACCGGGCCAAUCCUUAAUAUUAUAAACCCAUGAGAAGCCUAUUUUAUACAUUUUCGACUUGAAUUGCUAUGAUGUGGCAAAACAACGGUUUUUGAUUGGUUGAUUUUUUUAAAGGACGUGGACACCUUCUGACGGUGGAAUUAAAAUGUGACGUGGAGGGGCUGAGAGGGGAGGGUAUAACCCUUUUAUUAUAGUAUAGAUAUAUAUAGAUUUACUCAAUAAAGAAAACUUAGUACGAUUUUGCCUUUUAUCAUAUUAGUUAACCAUAACAGUUUUAAUAUUGUGUUUAUAAAAUCUAUGAUUAAAAUUUAGUGUAAAUCAGUUAUUUAUCAAAUACAAUGGGAGUAUAUAAAUGGAUAUUUGCAACAAUUUUAAUAUGAUAACAUUUUUAAUAUUUUAUAUACAAAACUUAGGGGAAACUUAUCAUUAAAAUAUGUUUACAUUAGUUAUUAAUUAAAUACAAGACAUGCCAUUCUAAUUAACCAUAACAGUUUUAAUAUUUUAUUUAUAAAAUCUAUAACAGAAUAAUUUUAAAUAGUUAUUUAUCAAAUACAAUAGGAAUAUAUAAGUAAAUAUUUGUAACGAUUUUAAUAUGAGAACGGAUUUAGUAUUUUAUUUAUAAAAUUAUAAUUAAAAUAAUUUUAAAUUAGUUAUUUAUCCACUACAAAACAUACUGUACAAAAACAUUUAAGCCUUAGCAUAUAAAUCAAUAAUCAAAACUGAAUUGACACCGAGCAAAAGAAAUGAAACCAAACAAAAAAAUGAAACCAAAGCCAAGUCAACAAAUAUUUGAACGAUUUUUAUAUUUUUAGAACACAAAAGGUGAAACCAAAUCAGAACCUAACUGAGAAUCGAACAAUCCAAACUAUAUUUUAUAUUCCUAAAAUGUUAUUUUUUUUAAAAAAAAAUAUUCUAAAUAUACUAUUUAUAAACCUAACUAUAUAUCCAAAAUACGGUUUAUCUACUCUUUAUCCAAAAUAUUCUACUAUCAUAAUUUCUUGAUAAGACUGAACUACAUGAAUAUGUUUUAUCCAAAAUUUUGAAAUUAUCCGAGCUAUCUGAGAUAAUAUUAUAGGAAAUAUUUAUUUCAUCAUUCUCUCAUACAAAUUUGUUAAAAUACGCAAGUUUAAUUCAAUGAAAUAAUAUUAUAGGAAAAAAUCCGGGCGUAGCAAUGGAACCGAGCCGUGACUUUGAAUCAUUUGUAAUCAUCUCUCAAUAAUAAUUUUCAUAAGAUAGAGUGUGAAGUAAUAUUAUAGAAUAUGUUGCAAAUAUAUUCGUAUUGUUGCAAAUAUGUUGCUGAGAUACACAUUAAGUAAUUCUCUGUUAUAUUGGUAUGGUUUUAGGCUCUGUUUUUCAUGUUGUAAUUUUAUGUAUUUUAAAAAAUGUUAAGAAAGAAGAAGCAAUGUUUUUAGCUGCUAGAGCUUCAAGAACAGAGAAUCGACAUAUAACAAUGGUAAUGGAGACUGGAACCGAGUAAGAAAAGGGAGCUCCAGAGCUGGUACCUACGAACUGAUUUUGUUUUUAUAAGUCUCUUUGGCUACAAAAAGUUGAUCAUUUCGUCAAGACUCUUUGGCAACAACUGCUCUACUUGGAUAAGAAAGCCAUCCGAGGGAAUUUAGGCAACCAAGUGAUAUUUUUAUAAUCUCUUGAUUCCAAGUAAGUUUUAAGUAGUUCUACAAAUUCUCGAAAUCAAAAAAACCAUCUAAGAAAGUUAUCCUAAUCUUUCAAAAUUGUUCACUGCAGACUCUGAGACAAAACAUUCAGCAGAAUACAGAGAAGUUUUAGAGAGGUGUGUGUUUUCAAGGUUUUGAAUAGGGAAUCUGUCUAACAACUCAACUAUUCCAAGUAAUAAUUUCGGAUAUAUAAUAUUUGAUAUUUUUGGGUGUUGUUCUACUUCUUGACAAUGGUAGCUACUGGUCAACAAGCAGAUGAAAGGACAGGACUUCAACCUCUGCUUUUCUCAGUUUAAAUCUAUAGAUUUGGUAUUAGUAUUGGGUCCAUGAUGAUCCUUUCUUGUGUGUAGACAGUGGAUAGCGUGAUUGAAACUGGAGAUAGUGAGCAUACUUUUCAGAAAGCAAUCAUGGAGCAAGGAAGAGGGCAGGUUGGUAUUUAGGUUUCGGCAAUAGCGUGACUACCUGUGCAACAAAACAAUUGUUACGUGUAUCUCCAGUUAGGUUUUUCCUGCUUCCGUGCAUGCAGAUAAUAAAUAUUGGAUACACUGGCUGAGAUUCAGGAAUGGCUUUCUGAGGCUUAGAGAAGAAACUUCUCCACAUUGUAGGUUAUAAUAAAAAUGCUGAAUCUGAAGGUGUCAAACAAGAUGCUAAAUUAAUGAAUGCUUCUGAAAUCGGUAAGAGGUUCUUCACAUCCUACUCUUUUUCUCUUGGGUACAAUUUUUUUUAGUAAUUAAAGCUUUUUAAUGUGUGUUCAGUCCAGGUUCUACGAAUUGGGAAGAGGUGGAAGAGUUUCAAAGCCAGAUGUAAGGUAACUCUGUCUAUAUAUGUGUUAUUAGAAACCAUGGACCGUUUGCUUGGAGUGAUAUUUUUCAAGAACAUUAGUAUCUAAAGAGUUUUUUGGCGCAUCUAUAUAUUAACCGUUUCCCCCACGAACUAACAUUAACGUUGUGGCCAUACAAGUCCAUGCUGUUUCCUGAGAAAGCCCCCCCAAGAACAUUAGUGAUGAUUUCUGUUUCCUGAGAAAGUCCAUGCUAAAUGUAGGACAAACAUCAACGUUGUGGCCAUACAAGUUUCCUCAGUUAAUUAUUUGUUUAUCUGGUAGAGCAGCAGUGUAACCACAACAUAUGGUGUGGCACUGAAAAUAUGUAGUAUGACCCCAGAAGGAAUAAUGAGACAAUCUUUUCGACCUUACAAUUUACAAAUAAGAAAUUGGGACCAUUGAGUUCUCUAUGCCAUUGAGCUCUAUAUAUAGUAAGUGUAAGGUAACUCUGUCUAUAUAUGUGUUAUUAGAAACCAUGGACCGUUUGCUUGGAGUGAUAUUUUUCAAGAACAUUAGUAUCUAAAGAGUUUUUUGGCGCAUCUAUAUAUUAACCGUUUCCCCCACGAACUAACAUUAACGUUGUGGCCAUACAAGUCCAUGCUGUUUCCUGAGAAAGCCCCCCCAGAACAUUAGUGACGAUUUUUGUUUCCUGAGAAAGUCCAUGCUACAUUUAGGACAAACAUCAACGUUGUGGCCAUACAAGUUUCCUCAGUUAAUUAUUUGUUUAUCUGGUAUAGCAGCAGUGUAACCACAACAUAUGGUGUGUCACUGAAAAUAUGUAGUAUGACCGAAUAAUGAGACAAUCUUUUCGACCUUACAAUUUACAAAUAAGAAAUUGGGACCAUUGAGUUCUCUAUGCCAUUGAGCUCUAUAUAUAGUAAGCUUGGUGUAAACCUAUUGUACUUUACUUGCAGUAGAUUUGGAGGAAUCUCACUUAUAUUGACGAGAGAAGACUAUGGGUAGCCAAGAUAGAGGACAUACUUUCUUACUAACACCACCAGUAAAGGUAUCCUUCCAAGUCUGUUGAGACCUAGCUCCAAGCCCCCUUCAACUAUGUGGCCGCCACUCUUAAUAUUCCACCAAAUGUAUCUUACAAUAUUACCAAGGAAAGAAGCUUGCUCUACAGUUUUCUACGGUGGUUCUCACAUAGUUGUAACUUUCUAAUUAACACUAAUAAAGGCUGCAGAAAUCUGAAUAUUAUCAAUAGUUGUAACACUAAUAGUGUAACUUUCUAACUCUAACUUCUUCUAGCUAGGUUAAGAAAUCUGAAUAUUAUCAAUAGACCAAAGAGAAUAAGUGGAAAACAAAGAGUAGAGAAGUCCUAAGAUGCAGAUGGUGGAGAAAAGGAUGAUGAAAAGGCAAUACUCAAGCAGACUACUCAUAAGAAGAAAAACAAAAUAUGUAUGUUUUUAGUGUUCUUCGUCUGAUUCUAGCUAGAGGCCAAAGUUCCAAUGGAAGUAGAGGAAACAGAGAAGGAUAAUGCGAGAUGUGAGUUGACGAGAGGUUUAUCUCUUCUUCUACAUGUCUCUGUGUUUGAAGAAGUUUGUAGAUGUUGUUCUCAUGUAUCUUAUGCCAUUCUAACAUGUAAAACAUUUAUUUUAAUUGAUUUUUAACUAAACAAUAAUCUUCCUCUCCAAUCUUUAAAAAAUAUAAUGUUUUGACAUUUAAAUAAAUAUGUAGUGUUUUUAAAUUAAAAAUCUCUAAAAUUUGAAUCGCAAUUUAUUAAAUUUCAUCAUUUGAAUUCUUCUGUAAGAAAAAAACAUUAAUAUAUAUAUAUAAGGAAAAUAUAUUUUAUUACUUCAAUAAUUAAUUCUUCUAUAUGAUAUUAUUAGUAGAGUUUGCUGCUACUAAUAAUUUAUUGUUUUCGGUACAAAUAGCAUUCAUAUUUCUGAGUUAGUAGUGCAAUUGUUUUUCUUGAUUAGUAGUGCAAUCUUUUUUAUUACAGAAAAUUCAUAUCAUAAAUUCAUUUUGACUGUCAAAAAAUAAUACUAUUUUCCAAAAAUGGUAAAAAAUGUAAUUCAUUUUCUAAACAAUAUAAUUACAUUUUCAAGUUACUGAAAAUGUUUAGUUAGAUGAUUUAUUUUUCGCAUAGGUUACAUACUAUUAUACUAUAAAAUUAUACCCAUCACAUGUAAAUAUAUUCUGAAUUAUAUAUUUCAUUCAAAAGUUAAUUUAAGAUUGUUUGGAAAAAACAUAACAUAAGUGUAACAAUUAAAAUACAUAAUCCUUGCAUGUUGAUGAAGUGAUUAAGUUUCUUUGAGGGCUGAUGUAGUAUUUAUGUUAUAUUAUUUGUAAAUUAUCUUUGUUUGUUCCUCAAAGUUUGGAAAAUACAUAUAUGUCACAUUAGUCGUGUUUGUUAAUGAAUAUUUUUAUAAAAUUUGAUCAGUUUAGUAUGAUUAAUAUACACAAAAUUAUUUUAUAUCACAAUUUGAAUAGCAAAAUUGUCCGUAAAAAUACUACUAUCAAACGUCAUCAUCACGGGACAUUCAUCUUUACUUGGAGAUAUCUAAAACCACUUAUUAACCAUUCCUUUAAGAUUAUCACAACAAAAUCAAUAGUAACAUGUUGAAAGGUAAUUUUCCGCACUACAAAUAGAUCUAGUAUCAAUACACACACAACGUUGACAGUAUUUAGAGCCUUAAGUUUCAAUAUAUCUUUCAAUUGAUAAAAAAAAAUCAAUAUUUAAAUUAUAAAAGACAAUAAUACCUCAUCUGUAACCGGACCAGUCAGCUCAAGACAUGGUUUGUGUAGCAGUUGCAUGGCAAGAUUAUCAAACCGCAAGAACUUGGUGUCAUUUGUACUGUCAAGUACAACCAGAUGCAACUUGUAUAGUAAAAUAUAUCAUAUAUGAAUGAAAAAGCUCAUUAUAUUCACAAUCAAUGAAACUUAUAACACGUCAGCUAUUAAGUGGACAAAGCAAAAUCAAUAUUCACACAACGUUGACAGUAUUUAGAGCCUGAGUGGAGUAAAGGAAACAGAAGGAGAAACACCUAGACAUGCUAACUUCUCUAAGUUUGCUAUUCAACAUUUUAGAACUAAUUGUAUAUUGAUUCACUUUUUAAAUAAUGAACUGUCUAUUAGUUAAAAUUUGUGAACAAAACUCAUGAAACACUACAGUAGCUACUCAGCUAGACGUGAGUGUUUCUAGAGGUUCUUUUCUUCCUCCCUUUUUAAAUAAAUUAAUUUUUGUUUAAAUAAUAUCUAAUACAUGCUAAUUUGAAAUUUAAAUUGUUUUAGUCAUAUAAACAUCUACAAAAAUUCAAACUUAAACAAAAUAAGAAUUAUAUAAUAUAUAAAUUAUUCAAAAUCAAGUUUUAAUUCUAGUUGAUCUAUCAUAUAUAUAUAUAUAUAUAUAUAUGUGUAUAAUAUUUGACUUAAAACUUUAUUUUCUUAACAAUAAAUUAUUCUUUUUCAAAACAAAAACAUUAUACUACUUUACCUAAAACUAUAAUUAUUUCUAGAUAAUCCAAAAGUAUAUAUUAUAAUUUUAAGGCUUUAAAUAACUAUAUAUAUAUAAAAUUCAAAGUAUACAUCUAUUUUAUCUUAAAUUAAAAUUUAUACUUAUUGAAUUUAUAAAUCAUUUAAUGUUAUUUAUGAAAGUAAGUAGUUAUAAAACAUUAUAUAAAUUAUUUCAAAUUUGCACAUUUUUUUAGACCGCUUAUUAUCCAUUUUUACCAUUCAAACAUAAUUUUUGAACCGCUAAAUACGCUUGAUCCACUCGAUCUGCUUGAUCCACUCUUGUUUCGAUCGAUCCGCUAGAUCUGCAAUGCUUGAUUCGCUCUCUCCUUUCGGAGCCUUAGUGUAAUUAUUGUUUUCUUAACAGAUGCCCUAUUAUCGGUCCAAAAACUCACACAUAAACAUUUCUCCGUCCCUUCGUCUUCUACAUUGUUUAAACCAAGGUUUGACCAGAAUCAGUAACCAAGGUUUUAUAUAAUCCAAAUGUACACGGAAGUCUUCUGUAAUAACCAAGGUUUGACCAGAAUCUCGGAAUAAAAUCCUGGAAGACUUCUGUGUAAGUUGUUUAUCGGAAGACUUACAUGGAAAUCACCCAGAUAAAAUAAAAUUUUUUUUUUUUUUUUCAAAUGUAAAAGUAACCUAAAAUGACUUACAUGGAAGUCGUCUAAAAAUUAAAUAUUUAAGUUUUAUUUUUCUGUUGGACGACUUUCCCUGUAAGUUGUCUAGGAAAAGUCAAAUUUCUGACACAAUCCGGUCUAAUGCAAAACUAACAUGUUUAUCCUAGAUGACUUACCAAGAAGUCUCCUCUAGUAUUUUCAAGAUUUUUUAAGAAAAAAAGAAAAUCAGAAGACUUUUAGAGAAAUAACCUCUAAAAGAUACACAAAAAGUCAAUUGCAAAACUAACUUAUGCAUUGAUCAGAAGACUUACAUGACGGACAGAUCUGGAAAAAAUAUUGAUUUCAUAACUUCAAUCAGUGAGAUAUCUUGUUUAGCUUCUCCAACAAUACAAAACUUCACCACCAAAGCGACCCACUUGUUAAUGACCAGGAAUCAUGAACUUGAAUGGCUCUAAGAACCUUAAAAAUUUAUGAUCAAAAUCUUAAACUCAUCCGUUUGUUUGGUUUAUUUCACCCGAUAAACUAAACUUACCAAUCCAACUAAAUUUACUGUUAUGGAAUCCUGGUUUAUACAUACAUAUGAAAAUCUCUUAUUAGUACGAUCAAAGAAACCAAAUUUCUCUGCCUAGGAUGAUGAAUAGAAAAAUGGUUAAACGGUUAAAAUAAAAUCAUGGUUUCAUAAACAUAGCAAAAUUCUUACCAAUUUAGGCAGGCAAAACGAAGCUUUAAUAAAAAAAAAAUUUCAGAAGUUCACAAUUGUGUGACUAUCUACAUGUGAUGAAUUAAAAGAUUUUUGAGAUAAUUAUUGAGCAUCAAAAUAAAUAAAUAAAAACCAUGUUGAUCUCAAGAAACAACCUGAUAAUAUAUAAAUGAAAAAAAACUCAUUUUAAUUAACCACGAGGUCAAACACCCGCGCAACCGCGCGGGUUAAGAUUUCAAUUUUAUAAACGUAAAAAUUCUUUUUUUACAUCAUCCAUACAAAUAUUCAAACAUAAUAAUGUUAUAUUUUACAUGUUUUUCAUCUAAUUGAUUGUUUCACCAUCACAUUUAUUUGUAGAUUCUUAUUAUAUAUUUGUCUCAUUGGAUUUGCGUUUAAUUAUAAGACGACUUAAUAUUUUUUUUUAAAUAUGCAAAGUUUAAAUGAUUGAUAUACUUUUUUAUUGAAAUCAUAUAUUAUUUAAAUAUCAUAUCUAAAAUUAUAAUUAACAAAAAGUAAUAAAAAUAAUUUAUUAAUUUAAUAAUUUAUUGCAUUUUAUGACAAUUUUACAUAUUCAACUACAUCAUUUGAUGAAUAAAUAUUUUACUAUUUUAGAUUUUCUGAAAUAUUUAAAGGUAAAUCUAACUUGAUUUCGUGUAUCAAGAUUUUUUAAUUAAAUAUAUGGAAACACAAUGAAGAUUUUAUGGUAUUUUAAGAUAGCGAUUUCUUUUAUAGGUUAAUCAAUAUUUUCUAUGGUAUAUCAUAUUUUUCACUUAGGGGUGGACGUUUGGAUAUUCAUUCGGAUUUGGUUCGGGUAUAUUCUAAUUUUGGGUUUCUCGGGGUUAAAACUUUCAGUCUCAUUCGAGUAUUUAUAAAUUUUCAUUCGGUUUGGUUCAGGUUUAGAUAAACCCAUUUAAAUUAUUUUAAAAAAAUUAAAAUAUUAAUAUAUACUUUUAAUUUUAAAAAAAUUAAAAUUAAAAUACUAUAUUACAUAUAAAUUUUAAGAAACUAUACUAAAAUACCUAAAUUUAACUUAAAAUUGGUUUACCUUGAAUAUUUGGAUAGAAAAUCAAUAUAUAUUUUAAGUGUUUUUAGUGUUUUAAGUAUUGCUCGACUAUUUUAGAAAUUUAUUUUUGAAUAUUUAUAUAUUAUUUUGAACAACUUUAAAAUAUGUUAUAUAUUUUAGAUAUAUCUUUACGUACUAAAUCUAAAAAUAAUUAAUAUACUAAAGUAAAUAAAAUUAUUUUGAUACCUAAAAUAUUUAUGUUCGGGACGGGUUUGAUUUCAGUUUUCUAAAUACCAAAAUUUUGGAACUCGUUCGGAUAUUUUCCGGUUGGAUUUGGUACUAUUUUUUUCAGAUCAGAAUCGGUUCUUUUUUUGGAUUCGGGUAUUUAGCCCAGCUUCAGUUUCACUGGUAAUUUUUAUGUAAAUAGAUAAAAGAUGUUUGAAGUUGCUAUGGGAGAUCUAAAUUGAUUUCUUGUAUCUCAUUUUACCUCGGUAAGAUUUAGUUGAAAAUGUUUUAAAUAGGAGAUAUGAAAGACUGAUAUUGCUUGAUACAUAUACCAAAUUUUUCUUGAGGUGACUGUUUUGAUAUUUUAAUAUUCUAAAAUAAAUUUAUAUUAUAUAGUUUUUUAUUUUGUUUAUUCAUCUAAUCUGUUUGGUUUGAUUUUACAUUAUUCUCAUUUUGGACAUGAUAUAUAUACAAUAUAGUACAAAUAUAUAGAGCUUGUAAGUUUUCGGAGUACUUAAAAUAGUCAUGAUAUGAUACUGGGUAUAUAAUAUAAAUAAUUUUGUACAAAAAUAUGAGUAUGUUAAAUCGUUUCCAAAGUUACCUUGAACCGAUUUGUUCAGUUAACGAACAAAGGGUAAUAACUGGCAUGUUUUUUGGGAAAUUAUCAAAAAUACCAUUUUCAAAGUAUCAUUUUUCAUGUUUACACUAACCAGUUUUACCACCAUCUUUAAUGAAGGGUAAAAGACAUUUAUAACCUUUUGAUUAACUUUGACAAAAAAAAACAUAAUGUAAACUAAUCUAAACUUAAAAAUCAACUCUAAACCCUAAAUCAUCAACUCUAAACACUAAACUAUGAAACAUCAACUCUAAAUCCUAAACCCCGAAACAUCAACUCUAAACCCUAAACGUAAACCCUAAACCCAAAAUCUAAACUUAAAACGUCAACUUUAAACCCUAAAUCAUCAACUCUAAACCCUAAACCAUGAAACAUCAACUCUAAACCCUAAACGUAAACCCUAAACCUAAACUUAAAACAUCAACUUUAAACAAUAAAUCAUCAACUCUAAACCCUAAACCAUGAAACAUCAACUCUAAACCCUAAACCCCGAAACACCAACUAUAAACCUUCAAAUCUAAACCCUAAAACAUCAACUCUAAACCCAAAACGUAAACCCUAAACCCUAAACCCUAAACCCUAUAUUUUUCUGAAAUUCGAACCCAGAACCCUAAAACCCUAAACUAUCAAAUCUAAACCAUAAAAAUCAACUCUAAACCCUAAACGUUAAUAUUCUAAAGGAAAUUUAUAUUAUAUAGUCUUUUAUUUUGUUUAUUCAUCUAAUCUGUUUGGUUUGAUAUUACAUUAUUCUCAUUUUGGACAUGAUAUGUAUACAAUAUAGUACAAAUAUGUAGAGCUUGUAAGUUUUCGGAGUACUUAAAAUAGUCAUGAUAUGAUACUGGGUAUAUAAUAUAAAUAAUUUUGUACAAAAAUAUGAGUAUGUUAAAUCAUUUACAAAGUUACCUUGAACCGAUUUGUUCAGUUAAUAAACAAAGGGUAAUAACUGGCAUGUUUUUUGGGCAGUUGCCAAAAAUUCCAUUUUCAAAGUAUCAUUUUUCAUAUUUACACUAACCACUUUUACCACCAUCUUUAAUGAAGGGUAAAAGAAAUUUAUAACCUUUUGAUUAACUUUGACAAAAAAAAACAUAAGGUUAACUAAUCUAAACUUAAAAAUCAACUCUAAACCCUAAAUCAUCAACUCUAAACACUAACUAUGAAACAUCAACUCUAAACCCUAAACCCCGAAACAUCAACUCUAAAACCUAAACUCUAAAACCUAAACAUUCAAAUCUAAACCCUAAAACACCAACUCUAAACCCUAAACAUAAACUCUAAACCCUAAAUCUAAACAUAAAACAUCAACUCUAAACCCUAAAUCAUCAACUCUAAACCCUAAACCAUGAAACAUCAACUCUAAACCCUAAACCCCGAAACACCAACUCUAAACCUUCAAAUCUAAACCCUAAAACAUCAACUCUAAACCCUAAACGUAAACCCUAAACCCUAGACCCUAAACCCUAUAUUUUUCUGAAAUUCGAACUCUGAACCCUAAAACCCUAAAC
rnacentral:lncRNA from 1 species